rnacentral:lncRNA from 1 species
AGAAGAGGCAGGUGUAGGUGGGUUAUGUGAUAGGGGAAAGAUUGACUCAUUGAAGGUUAUAUGACGAGCCGUGAUAAUCUUACGUGAGGAUAUGUCGAGACAGAGGAAGCAACGAUGAUGUGACGGAUAGUCGAGGAAGACACAGGGAGUGGAGCAUGCAUCGAGUUUAUGAGUUGUCGAUGACGGGAGGUGGGGAUAACAUAGACAACCAAAGGUUUUUAAUGAACUGUAAUCUGGGUGUCGGAGGUAGAGAGAAGAAGUGGGGGAGACAAAUUUCUUUGACUUGCUAGGAAGGAUAUUGUGUAGAUAGGUUGCCAUAGAGAGGGCGUAGUGCCAUUUUGAAGGGGGAAUGUUAGCGUGAAGCAAAAGGGUUCUUAUCGUGUUGUUGAGUGUUCUAAUUUUACGUUCGGCUUUUCCAUUUUAUGGGGAGGUGUGAGGACAGGAAAAUCUAAAUGUCAUGCCAUGUUUUUUGAAAAAUUCAUGAAAUGGUGAAUUAUCGUACUCACGACCGUUGUCGCAUUGAAGAUUUUUAAUAGGGCAAUUAAAUUGGGUUGUAAUAAACGUGUGAAAUUUAGUGAAGAUAUUAAAAACUUCCGAUUUGUGUUUGAUGGGAAAAUUCCAAAGAAAGUUAGUAAAAUCGUCAAGAAAUAACACAUAAAAACGAUGACCCAUAGUGCUAACAACAGGUGAGGUCCAUAAAUCACUGUGAAUAAUAUCAAAUGGAUAACAUGUAGAAGAAGUAGAUGAAGAAAAAGGUAAUUUUGUAUGUUUACCCAACUGACAUGAAUGACAAAAAUGUUUAGAAAUCGAACGACAUGAGAUAAAGUUAUUAUUACGAAGAACACUAAAAAUGGCUGGACUCGGGUGGCCCAAGCGGUUGUGCCAAGUAGAGGCGGAAAAGGUCGUGAGAGCUUGAGGUGUUGAACUUUCGGUUUGGUGCGUGGGUAGGAGAGGGUAGAGCCCGCCCAAACUAUUGCGCCUCAUAAGUGGCUUCCCUGUCUGCAUAUUCUUCACAGUAAAACCAAAACGAUCAAAUUCAACAGAUACGUUAUUAUCAGAAGUGAAUUUUCUAACUGAGACAAGGUUUUUAAUAAUAUGUGGGGCAUGGAGAACAUUUUUUAACUGUAAGGGUGGUAAGGGAGGUUGAAGCUACUUCACUCCAUAGCCAAGAAUUGGAAUUUCAGUACCAUUUCCAACAAUAAUUUUAUUAUUGGUGCUCAAAUUAAAAUAAGAAGAGAGGGUACCUAAGUUCGACGUCAUAUGGGAGGAUGCUCCUUAUCCAUAUACCAAUUGUCGUCAAGCUGCUGAAGAGACAUGGUCUGCAUAGUGGCUGCAAUGUCAGUGGGUACAAGCGCCCCUUGCGGUGUACAAAGAGUCUGAUUUUGGGCAAGAAAAGCGUGUGGUCUAGGUCCCAAAACACCAGCACCACGACCAGUAGCAGAAGGAGCCCAGCCCGUGGUAGGGUAUGGACAUGGUGGUGGAUUCCAGGGUGACUGUUGUGGCCAAGAGGGAGGCGCAAAAGGAACCCAUGUCCAAGGAGCAGGCUGAUUUCCUUGUCUGUUAUUUGUGCCAGAGUUAUUUUUGUUAUUAUCAGAGGAAUUCUUGUAAGAGUUACCUUUGUUAUUAUUAUGAUUUCCCUUGCCACGAUAUUGCUUUCCACGACCUCCGGUGUUGCGGUUGCUGUAGCGAGAAGGUGCAACCUCAGAAGACCGGUUAGGAGCGGCAGAAGAAACAUCAGAUUGUGUGUGGACGAGAGCAGACUCGGCACCAGUGUUCUUAUUGCGACGGGUUUCCUCAAGUGUGAGCAUAGAUCUCGCUUUGUAGAACGAUGGCAGCGGAUCUAGUUGUUGAAUGAUGGUGGCGAGACUAUCGUACCCACUUGAGAGGCCUGUCACAAGGCGGAGGACCAGGCGAUCCUCGCUGACCGGAGCCCCAACAUUGCCGAGUUGUUCGGCUAUCAGUUUCAAUGCUUGGCAAUAAGACGACGCAUUUGGAUAAUUAUCCAUGUGGAUUUGGGAGAAUUGUUGUUCCAGAUAUACGGCUCUAGAGUUUUUAUUGUCGUGAAAGAUGUCCUUCAAGCGAUUCCAUGCUUCUUGAGCGGUGGCACCGGGUUUUAGAAUCGUAUGGAGGAGAUCAAUGGAUAUUGUGCUAUAAAUCCAUUGUUUCACGAUUGCAUCGAGGCAGGACCAUUGUGCAUCUUCCUUAACAGUCGCAUUCUUGGGUGGAAUGAUGUGAUCAGCGACAUCAAAUGCAUUGGCCGCAUUAAGGAACAAUUCUGCCCAUGAAUCGUAAUGAACGUUCUCCAUUUCUAGGGUGAUUUGAAUGUGGUUUUUGAUGUUUGAGACAGAAAAAGCAGGAUGGAAAGUGGAUUUAGGUGUGGAGUCGUUGCCAGCCAUUUGAAAAGGGAAGGAAUGGGCUCGGUGGAGAGGAGAAAAGAAAACAGAGGAUGAGAUGAUUGUGGGGGAUCGUUAUAGGGUUGAUACCAUACUGGAGAAUAAUUCCCCUCUGUGUUUCAUUCCAUUCAUGGUCAUUAUAUAUAUGUACAACAUAACUUGCUUCUUGAUUUCCUGUGAAACCAGUUCACAUAUUCUAGCCUAAGACUUGGCAUAGUAUCACACUAAUUAUGAAUAAUAUCAAGCUAAUAAUUACAAUGAAGACUAGUUAUUACAAUGAAUGUGGACAUAUAUACAUAUAGUCUAAUAGUCGCAAUUUAGAUGGCGCGCGGCACUCUUUUCCAAUGGAAGGAAGCAAGAAAUGUGAAUGUUGUGUAGGUCCAGCCGCAACAAAUUAAUAUUGUGGUGAAUUUUUUGCAGGGCCAGCAGCAACAUAUUAAUAUUGUGCAGUGGCAGCCACCAGAGACGAAUUACGUUAAGUGCAAUGUUGAUGCAACACUGUUUGCGGAACAACAUAGCUUUGGAAUUGGAAUGUGUAUCCGGAAUCACCGAGGUCAUUUCAUCAAAGCGGCAACGACAUGGCAUGAUGGAAUUCCACCACCGCAGGAAGCAGAGGCAAUCGGUUUACAUGAUGCUAUUCUUUGGCUUCGACAAUUGGGAAUAUCAAAUGUGCACUUUGAGCUAGAUUGUAAGCUAGUAGUCGAUAGCAUACUUGAUAGGACUAAUAAUCAAGCUGAGUUUGGUAAUAUAAUAUCUAUAUGUAAGUCUCUACUAUCCCAAUCUCCAAACUUUAAGAUAAGUUUUGUUAGGAGGCAAGCGAAUUCCGUCGCCCAUAGCUUAGCAAAGGUGUCACGGAUGCAUGCUCGUCACCAAGUGUUUGAUUUGAUUCCAUCUUGUAUUGACUCUAUUGUGAGAAAUAAAAUAAUUUGAGUUUUUGUUUGUAAAAAAAAUCAUAAUAUACAUGUUGUUUCAAUAAUAUGAGGUUUAAUUGCAGUUUUGUUCCACGCAAAUUUUGAAACUUUCUAAAAUGAAGCUAGAGUGGACAUUUACUUGUUUGUUACUUGUAUACUAGCCUUUAUUUAUAUGGAGAAUGUUAACCUGUGUCCCUGAGGCAUUGAUUAAGCACCAAAUAAGGUAAGUUUUUAUUAAAAAAAUAAUGUAAUUAUUACUUGUAAAAAGUGACCGUUUAUAUUUCCAAGACAAAAAUUCUAUUUGUAGAUUCUUUAACCAAUGCCCCAGAGCACCGGUUUACAAGACCCUAUUUAUAUAGCACUUAUCUUUUAUUAAUUUUGAUUGACCUCUCCCACUUAAUUUUCGGUUGUAACAACACUAAGUUAGGGAAAUUGAUUAAAGUACCCUUGGGGUGGAUAUGUUUCUUAUUUGACCAAAUCCAUGGACGGCCUUAAUUAAUUCUCCGUAUAGGUCCAAUAACUUAAAUGUGCCAACAAAAGUUGUGAUUGAAUUUCAAACUAGUGUUUCUUUUCCAUCCUCAAACCUUGCGGUGUACCCUAUUUUGGAUUAUAAAAUCCAAAAAAUGUGGAGGAUUUUUAGCAUGUUUUACGCUUUUUAGAUUGUAUAAUCUGAAAUCUAUAGAACCCAUGAAAAACAAUAGGAUGGAGAACGAAAAACUCGUUUAUUUUUUGUCGUAACGAAACACUCAUUUCAAACAUAUAUAGAUGGAAAAGAUUAGUCCAAUUUUAAAAUCACUGAGUCAUUUAGUUGAACUUGCAAUCCCCAUUAGUCUCGCUGUUGAAUUUUCUUUGAAUGACCCUGUCUAAAGAGGAAAAGAGAGUUAGAUUAGAUUAGAAUAAAGUUUAAAUGGGGUGAAAUGAAAAGCUUUGGAUUUAUGUUUGAAAGUCACCCCGAUAAAUUAACCAAUGUGUGGAUUUUGAUUUCAACUAACAUAUGGAACUUGGUACGUUAUAUUAGAGACGGUCAUGAAGUAGGAGGAAAAAUUAUACUUAUUUCGAUUUUUUUUUUGGUUAUUUUGAAUAUUUUAUAAGAGAAAUGUUAUGGUAUGCUAUACUUAUUUUGAAUAUUGUAAGUGAAGGAAUUAAAAUAUUCAAAAUAACCUCUAAAAAUAUUCAAAAUAAGUAUACCAUAGCAUUUCUCCUAUAAGAUGGAAAAAAAAGUGAAGUAGCUAUAAUUUUAUUGGAGUGUGUUAUAAUUGUAUGUUUGAGAGUAUCACCUUAACGUUUCUCUUUUAUAAUGUUGGGUUUUAGUUUCAAUAAAUGCAAAAAAAAUGAAUUGAUUUAACUAGUAAAUAUUGUCACUAUACAAAUAUUUUACAUCGUCAAUCAAUAAAAAUUGUUAAAUCAUUAAUAAAUGUUGAGUGAAGACUUAACUUAGUCCUUCAUAAUUUUUUCUCCGGUCAAUUUAGUUCUUGAUAUAAAAUAAACUCAAACUAGUCUCCGACAGUUUAAUAUUAAAUUUUUCUAUUCACAUCCCAUAUAUUUUUUAUUACAUCCAAAUUUUCUUAAAAGUUUUUUAUAAUACCAAAAUUGUCUUUUUAUAUAAAAAAAAUUAAAAUAUUGAUUUCAUUCAUUGUCACUCUAAAAUUCCACUUUAUUUCACCCACAAAUGAUUAAACAAUCCUAAAUUGAAUCAAAACAUCGUUCAUCCAUACUUGAUUGCAUAUAAGUAAGUGAAUUUCUUCUUCUUUUUCAAUAAUGAUAGUUUCAAUUUUCUUCUUCUUGUUCAACUGCAUUGUACGACGUUUCAAUUUUACAUUGUUGAGGUUAACUUAAAUUCAGUUUAUGUAGGUUAUGUAAACUAAGUUUACAUAACCUACAUAAACUGGAAGUUUAAGUAACCUACUUAAACUGAGAUUACGUAGAAUCAUUGAACAAGGUUGAACCUACUUAAACUCAGUUUACAUAACCCUAAACUAAGAAUCAAAAAUCAGAGAAAAUAUGGAGAAGAACACCAAACAAACCCAUAAAUCGAAUUGGCCCGAUCGAAAAGAAAUUGAAUUCGAAAAUAACUAGAAUCAAAAAUCGCAGACAAGAAAAAGAAAAACAUAUAAUCGCAGAAACAUGAAAAACACAAAUUGAAACCAGAAAAAGCUUAGAAUUAGGGAACCCAUGACAAGAAAAACAUAAUUGAUCGAAGAACACCACUUGCUAACCUCAUUUGCUUCGAACUUUCUUUGAAAUCUUGCAUAGAAGGGAUAAAUCUGCUUGAAGAAGGAAAGAUGGGAGAGGAGUUUUGGGGUGUAACCAAGAAAGAAGGGAGAGGUUUUUUGAAAAUUAAAUUUUAUGGAAGGGUAAUUUUAUCAUUUUGGGGUGUAACCAGGAUUAAACAAGGUGUAAUUAGAAAAACUCUUUAAUAUUAGGGACAAAUUAGUCUCUUUGUCAUAAUGAAUCAAGGACUAAUUUAUGCUUCAUAUAAAAAUGCCAAUGACAAAUAUGAGUUUAUUUUUUUGUCUAACUUAAUUGGCUUGAGAGGAAGUUGUGAUGGAAUAAAUUGUGUAUUCACUGAAAAAUGUUUGAUUUUUUUUUUCUAACUACUUUUAAGGUUGUUUAUUUAAAUGGUUUUGAUUCGAUGAUAGUGUAAAAAAAUUCAUUGACAAUAUAUAAAUUAAACUCACAAUUUAAACUUUAUCUCGACUUUUAAAUAAAGUGUAACCGUACUUUUCCACAAGUCCUAUCUUAACUGAUCAAAAUAUUGAAAUUUUUAGGUUGGAUGUCGUGAUAAGGAUUCGAACUUUGACUCUUCCAUUUAUGUGUGAAUUUCCAACAAAUAUUGACAGUGUUGACUUAAGACCUUGGAGUCGAUUCUCCACAAUGUCAAUUUGAGUGGAUUGAUUUAGCUCCUUACAAAAAAUAUUUUACCCAUAUAAGCUUGUUAAUUUGGUUUUAAAUUUUUCAUCAAAAGGAAGGAAAAGACAUAAACAAGAAUCGGUUUGCUAAUUUUAUAUCCUUGUGAACUUAGCUUAGUUGGUAUGGACAAUACAUAAUAUAUGUAAGGUCGGGGGUUCAAACCCCGCCACCACAAAAAAAAAAUGUGAAAGAUAAUAUAAAAAAUAAUCUAAUGAUUGAGAGAGUAUGAUAGAAAUAUGUUCCUCAUUUAAUCUAAUGGACAUGAUCAACUUUCCCAUGGUGGGAAAAAACUCUCUUUUCCCAAAUUAAAUGGCACCUGAACUUGAAUAUAUAACAAAAAUAAAUUAUUCAUUUGUCUGUUCAAUUCUACUAUGGAGUAUUUUAGGUACAAUUCUACUAUGGAGUAUGCCAUAGAGAAUCUCGAGUGAUGUUCCAUGCACAGUUCUUGAGGCAAUAACAAUGUGCUCUUAGUGUCUAGUCCAUUGGAGUGGAACUAUCAAGCUCAUGUACUUCAAAAUGGAUAUGUACGGUGUCCACUGCGUAUCCUGCACUGAUAUCUGUCCGAUACUUCUUGAUACGUAUCAGGAGAGUAUUCAGAGAUUAAAUUUUAUUUUAUUUUUAAAACAAUUAUACGAUAUUUUUCAAAUACAUCUAGGAUAUGAGUGAAGUGGAAAACCGAUAUGUACGAGUUAGUUGAUGUUUCUAUUAUAUUUGGUAUAUACGUAAUUGCUAAGUAAUGAUGUUUUCUAUUUAGAAUAUAUCAUAUAUGUAAUUGACUAAUUGUCGCUUUCUUUAUUAUCAAUAUUACUUAUAUUUAUAUUUCUAUUGGUGUUGCCGUCUGUUUUGUGUCCCUUUGUUUGUUUGAGAACGAUGUUAUUGUUGAUUGUCGUGUGAAGAUAAUUUCUUUGUUAUGCCUUAUCGUUUUUCUAUGUCUGUUUGGUCUAGGUUUUGCGCCAAUUUUUUUGCUUUUGAGUUUUAGUCCAUAUUUUGUAUUUUGAGUUUUAAUAUGUAGUUUAAAUUUAAUUUUUUAUUGAAGUAUCUCAGCCGUAUCGUAUCUUGAAUUUUAAAAUUUUUCCGUAUCAACGUAUCGAUGCCGUAUUGUAUCUUGUAUCUGGGCUUCAUUGGAGAGGAAUGAUGUGGAUGCACUUUGGAGAACAAUUAUUCCUAGAAAACGCCCAAGAACAAAGGGAAAGCAGAGUUUGUAGGGACCAUAAAAAGACAAGUUAAAAAGGGAAAGCAAAAAUUAUGAAUUGUGGGACCUUAAAAAGUAAUAUAAGAACACAAAUAUGAUUCUUUACCUUGGAGUAGAAAUGAGUGAUAGUUCUUAAAUCUUAUGUGAUAUCCAUGAACCCACAAAAAAUGGUUGAAGAACAAAAUUUUGACUCUAGCAUUGUAGAUGCUCUAAGGUCUUAACUUUUUAGCAAAUUUAAUUCACUUAAACUAUUCUAAUAAAGGAAUCUGCACCCUUCAUUAAUUUAUCUCUGGGAAUUUAGAAAAAGGAAAAAACUUAUGUGUGUUUGUUUGGGUGUUUUUUUUUUGUAUGGUUCUUAAAUAAAAUUACAUAUUUUUUGGAUAUAACAAACUUUAAGAAAACUAUAGAUUUGAUGUAUUUAGUUAAAAACCAUGCGAAAAAAAAGCUAAGAAAAUUCACCAAGUUUUUUCCUUUAGAAAAUACUAAUGAAGUUAAGUGAUAGUGUCCAAUUUCAUUGACAAUAUGAAUGUGUGUUGCCUUAUCUACUGGAAAUCCAAAUUCCUGUGGUUCCAACAUUUCAAUACAAAGUAAUCUAACACCAAAAAUUUCUCAACUUCAUAUGACUCCCCUAAAAAAAUGUCACAGAACCAUAGAACAAGGCAAUGAAAAUGAAGAGAGAGAAAAAAAAAGUAUGAUAUAUUUCAUUCUAUGAGCAAUAGUUGUUUAGCAAACAAUGAAUGGUAACUAAAAACUGUAAACAACCAAAAAAACCUGUCACUGUUACUUACAAUGGCUACUUGAAAAUUAAUCACUAAAAAAUCAAGGAAAUUGGAAUGACCCUCCAAUUUGAUUGUUACCAGAAGGAGGAUCAAUAGCAACCCAUAGAAGUGAUAUAGUGAUUGAUAUUAAUGCUGACCAAACAAACACAAUUGUUGGUGUUCUACCUCUUCUACCCAUAAGCCCUUUUGCAAAUGGAUAUAAAUGAGCCAAUACCCAAAAACUGAAGAAUACGCCUCCGAGUAAACUACUCCAUUGACGAUCAUCGCUGUAUAUAGUCCUACUAACCGCAGUUGCAAUUGCGAUUAAGUUAACCAUCAUGAUUGUGAGUGGUGGUAUCAUCAAGGAGGACCAUUUGAUGAUGUAGAGAUCAGCAUACUCGUCGUUUUCAUCAUCGCCGGAGGAUUUUGAUGUUAAAGUGAAUGAGAUCUCGAUGCCGGCUAUAACUUUGAGUAGACCUUGAAGAACUGCAGCAAAAUGUGCACUUGUGCCUCCUAUCAACCAGAAUUGCUCGUUUCUCCACCAUUCUUCGAGUUCGAUGCCUGACCAUUUGAUCUCAAGAAUAGCAAGAAGAAUAAGUGUCACGGUGAUUCCCAAGAGGUAAAUUAAGAAAGUGACUUGAAGGGAUUGGACUAUGAACUGGCCGGUGAAGAGUGAAAGAGCCGGGAGGAAGCAAUAAACAAUGAGGAAGAAUGAAGUGAAUGGAUAUAUUCCAACAUUAAGAUAAGCAAUCCUUUGCAAAAAUUUCAGUCUAGAGUUAGCCAAGAUUGCAUUGUUCCGUGAAAAGAAUAUUUCGACCGAGCCAGUUGCCCAUCGAAGAACUUGGUGAAGCCGGUCUGUCAAAUUGAUUGGAGCAGUACCACGGAAGGCAUCCCUCUUGGUCACACAAUACACAGACCUCCAUCCUCUAUUGUGCAUUCUAUAACCUGUCACAACAUCCUCGGUUACCGACCCGUAAAUCCAUCCAACUCUAUCUCCCCAUUCGGUCUUAUCUUCAUACCAGCAUGAGAUGACACUGAUUGCCUCAGCGAUAGUAGCAGCAUCAAGAAGAUCUCGAGGAAGUGUUAGAGCACCAGGUUGACGUCCAUUUUUGAUGGAAGGAUGAUCAGCAAGUGGUCUCCCUUGGAACUCUGCCACCCUGAUUGAGUCAACAAAAAGGGUCGAGUUGCCGAAUUUCUUAGGAAUAAGAGCGCUACUCAAUUCUUCUUCAUCAAUGCUACCACCAUUCCUCAAAGAUUGAUCCUCUACGUCAGGGACUGAGGCAACUGUUGAGGAAUUCUUUUUCUUACUGCCAAACCAACCGGUGGCCUCUUCUUGAACUCGGGGAGGAUCAAAGCCAUAGAGUGCAGUUCUUCGAAAUAAGCAUCCAGUACCAACAUAAACAGGACCCUGAAUACCAUCGAGAGCUCUCAUAUUGACAUCAAAGAAGACAGUGUUAUGAUUGGCAUACCGAUCUGAUGGGUCGAUUCCUUCAAACCUUUGAGGAAAUUGAACAUAGCUGAUCUUGUCCCCAUCGCGGUCCAUCAUAUAGCACAUACCUUCCCUGAUUGCCUCAGAGUUAUAUAUGUAAUGGUCACAGUCAAGAUUAAGUAUGAAAGGACCAUUAGACAUUACGGCUGAAGCUCGAACCAAGGCAUUCAUGGCCCCCGCUUUCUUAUUGUGAUCAUAGCCAGGUCUUUUUUCACGAGAAACAUAGACUAGCAUAGGAAGACGAAUAUCAACUUCGGUUAAAUUCAUGCCAUUUGAAUCUGAUUCUGGGCCGGUUAGUGGCUCGUCACUUGGAGGUUUCAACAUCACCUGCAUUUGAAAGAGGUUGCGUUAUUAGCAUGUUUGAUGGUUAUAUCAAAAAACGAUAAAAUUACAAUUUGAUGUGUCACAACAAGUAUAAUAUGAACAUCAUAAACUAAUUUCCUGUAUGAGUUUUGACCACUGAGAACCUGAAUCUUAGCAUGAAAACACUGCCGUAAAUACUAAAAAUUAUAAUAACAAUAUGUAAACACUUUUAUAAUGAAGAUUAAGACAGAAUUAGUAAUAUCAGUGGUACUAACUGAAUGUAUGAUCCAGAGGAAAAGGAGCUGGUAUCAGAUUCCCUAGGAUGUUCAUGCAUCAUGCCUCUAUCUUUUGGAGAUUGUCCUACUGUAUAAAAGAAUUAUCUACUGCUAUUUUGAAUAAUGCAAUCUUACUAUCUUUACUAAGCUUAUAUAUUACCAAUGAUAGACUAUAAAUUUUGACAUGCAAGUUAAUGUGAUCCAAAAUUUAAAAUGUAUGUGUGGUUGAAGGCAAAUGAAAGAAAAACUAUGCGUUUCGACUCAGGAUCUAAAUGGCGACCUGUGACUUCUCUGCAUGAAGUCUGACAUUCUUACUAAUAGAGUUGUUGUCAUUUUAAUGUCAAUAAUACUUUUCUAAUAGUAAAAUAAUAGCCUCGUUUCAUCCUCUAUCAAAGAAUCAAAUAACUAAAUAACUGAUAAGUUUACCCUCUAUCAUAAAAACCGACAAUUACCUGUAUGAUACUGGAAUGAUCACCCCGAGAAUGCUCUGGUGCAGGAGUUGUCCAAGUCCCAGGCCAGUGAGUACCAUCGGUCAUACAUGUAGCUUUAGAAAUUUUCAAAUUCUCCAUCGGUUCAUCAUUUGCAGCCUCUCUCCAUAGCCUCAUAGCUUUGAUCUCCUCUCUAACAUUAUAAGCAUCAGCGCGCCUCCGGAUUGAAUCAGGAAGGCCAUUAAUCCGAACCUUGAAUUCCUCAUACUCGCGCUUCACCUUCCUGCGGUCCCUAACAAAGUCCGAACGUACUUUGUUCCUGUAGGGAUCUCUCUUCAAACUAAAGUAAGAUUCCGGGUUCCUUGGUUCAAUGUCGUGCUUCCGACAAAAAGGAACCCACAACUCCGCAAAACUUGCUGCCUCGGCCAUGGCCUCAAAAGUUAGAAGUGAACCGCCGUCGUCAGAGACAUAACAUGCGAGUUUAUCAACAGGGUAAUCAACUGCUAGAAUUGAAAGAAUGGUAUUUGCGGUAACAAGGGGUGGCUCUUUUUCUGGAUCGGCAGUUGACACAAACAUAUCAAUUCCCGGGAGAUCAGAUUUCCCUGUUGGAUUUGCUGGACUAGGAGUUUCGAACUUCUCUUUCAAAACGUCGAGAUCAGCAACACGAUUUAUCGGAAAGAGCUUAGGGAGCUGGUCAAGAAGCCAGGAGAAUGCAAACCAGAUUUCACAAACUACGGACAUGCCCCACAGCCACAUUGCAUCGUCAUUCGGGUUUACUACCCUCCAGUGAAGGAAGAGAACCAGAAUCACCAUCCGAGCUAAUAUUAUGAGCCUGAAAGAUAAAACGACAAAAUGAUAACUAACUUUAGAUUCAUUAUUAAGUUUUUAAAUCAAUUUCCUGUAAAAAAAAUAAAAUAAAAUUGUCCCUUUGUUCAUAAAAAGUUGUUCUUUGACAGACUUACUUACUAACACCUCAAAAUAUAAAACCAAAUUCAAAUUGAAUAUCAGAUGUUAGAGUCUCCGACUAGAUUAAAAACAUCAUCAUAUAAAAAUAUUUCAUAGACACAUCAAUAAGAAAAUGGGAUGCAAAAAAAUUUGUCCGCACAACCAGGGGUGAUAAAAGAAGCUAAGUGGAAAAAGUAAUCAUACCGAUAAGGACUCAGAAUUGCAGCACGAAUAUUCAGUUUCCGGGUCAACGGCCUCCACGGCUUUUCUUUGAAAGCAUUAGGGUCACCCCCCAUCCAAUCAGAACCAGAACUAGAACUAGCACCAUUCACCGGAUCUUUAGGCCACAUAGCGUUUCCAUAUCCAUAAGUCCCUUUAGUCUCAGACAACCAUUGAGCAUGAUCAAAUUCAUUAGUUUGGCUCCUCAUCAAAUUCCCCGAUUUCAUCAUCGACAACCUCCUCUCCAUCUUCGACGCACCAGGUGGCAAAGGUAGUGAUUGUCGAUUAACCGCAGCAGCAGCCUCUUCCAUUGCUUGCUCUUUGUAAGCCUCGUUACAUCCAGGGCAAACCCCUUCACCAUUCCUCAAAGUAUCCUUAUAACAAUUCCUACAAAUCUUGAAAUCACACUCACAAGGAAGUAUUUCCAAACCUCUUUCAUCAGUCAUGACCUUUCCAUCACACCCCGACAUCUCACACGCCGACCCUUUAGUCCCGGCCAUCUGAGGAUGACUUGAUUCGGACUCAAUCACCUUAUCCUUGAACUGAGCUCUAGUAGCCUGAUUAAAACCGCCUGUAAACAUAGAACUCGACGCAUAUUGAUCCUCCACUCUCCUAGAGGUUGAUCUCUCAAGAGUAAUAUCCUUCGCCGACAUAGGUUGGUUAUCAGGUGUUAUAGGAACUUGCACUGUGUAUGUAGCAAGACUCUCAGUUUCUUGAUCCAUAUCAUUGCUCAAUUGAGAAAUCCUCACCAAAGAACCCCCUUUUUUCAAAUAUGGUCUAGAACCCAUGAUGAUGAUUAUUGAUGAAUUAGAUUACAAAACCUGUAAUUUCAUCAUCAAAAACACACAACACACACUACUUAAUCAGCAAUAGAAUUUGUAUAUAUAUAAUAAAAGGAUAAAGGCUUAAUCUUUAAGAAUUGUUCAACAACAACUAAAUAAAAAAGACAGCAAAUUAUUUCAAAGACACGGUAUAAGAAAAAAAAACCAAAUCAAACAUAAGUGUAUGUCAAGUAGUGCAAUGAUAAAGAAUGUUUGAUUAAAAUUUCUUACCUAAUCAAAGACAACCGAGCAAAUGGAUUGAAGAUUGUCCUAAUGGCAAAUCAAACGCGUGUCUGACACUGUCAACUGAAAACAAGACUGAGUCCAAAGUACAGAUCAAGAUUUUUUCAAAAACUAAUAAACAAAAACCAAACUUUGUUUAAUAGUUCCAAUUCCAACAACAAACACUAACACAGAACAGAACAGAACAGAACAGAACUACAAAUUCUCAUGCAUUCAUGAUACUAAACAAAAAAUAAGGCCGGCCCAGAAACGUUAAACAGUGUUUAAGGUUCAAAGUUUCAAUCUUGUAUAUAUGAAUGUUGUUUGGUUUGUUUGGUUUUUUGAACAAAAUUGAUACCACCUUGGGAAAAAAAAUCAGGGGAAUGGCACAACAAUGUAGAAAGUGUGGUGAUGAUAAAAGUAGGAGAAAAUGAAGAAAGAGGAAAGUUUGGUAGAGUGUAAAAUAGAGUAACGUUUUUAUGCAAGAUUUUGUUCUUUUUUGAAGAGGAUUAUUCGGAAAGUACGAAGUGUGUUUUGAAACAAAAUGGAUUGUGUUUUGACGACGCGGCGAGCGAUGUUUUUGGGGUUGGCAACUUUACAUGUUCAUUCUCCAGCUGGCAAUGGCAUGGCUCCUUUCAUUUUUCUUUUUCUUAAAAGGUUUUUAUUACAUAUGAUUUUAUUUUUUAUUUUAUUUUUUUGAAAAAUAAAAUAUGGUUGAAACUUAAAAUAUCACACUUUCUUUAUGUAUCUUUGACUGAAUUAAUUUUAAUUCUGAUUCUGUUAUAAAUUAAAAAAAUUACUGGUUGUGACUGUAAAUGGAAAAUUUUGAUUGGGUAUUUAUGAAGGGAAGCAAUUAAGAAUCAAAAUUCUUUAUAAAAAUUUUUUGGGGAAUUCUUUAAAUUUUCUGUUUUCUUUUACAAAAUUAAAUUUAAAUUUGUUGUUAUAUACAAAAGUUUAGAAUAAUUAUAUAUAUAUAUAUAUAUAUAUAUAUAUAUAUAAUAUACAUAAAAGAAUUAUAUGUUUUCUUUAUCUUUCAAUUAUACCUUUUAUUUAAACUAUUAAUUACAACUUUAUAUUUUGUAUAAUAUUAUUUAAAUAUUUAAUUAAAAAAUCAAUUAAACCUCAUUAUAAUUUUAAAAAAAUUAUUAUAGUAGAAACAAUAUAAGUUAAAUCUUUAUUUGAUUGUCCUCGUGAACUUAGCUCAGUUGAUAUAGACAAAAUCUAAUAUAUGCAAGAUCAGGGUUCGAAUCCCGACAACUACCAAAAAAAAAAUAUUUGAUUUCCAAAAUAUUUAUAAUCAAAUACAUAAAAUAAGUAUACACUUUUUUUGUUGACAAAAGAAAAAAAGUAUGCACUUAUAUGCAGUGAACUUACGCAUCUUAAUGCUAGUAAAAUAGAAAGUAGAUAUGCAGCUUCAUUUUUAUUAAAGUAAAAUAAGCUUCAUUCAAAAUUCACAUUUUGAGUGGAAAUUAUCAUUAGUUGAGAUAUUUCUCAUUCACGUUUUCAGAUCGACACUAAGAGAGUUAAACACACACUAAUAAUACACAUUAAAUUCUUCUUUCUAAAAAAAUACACCUUAAAUUCUUAGAAGUCAAUGUAACAAAAACAAACUAAAAUUUUAAUGGUUUUUGUUAACGAGUGCCUUCGAGGCACUUUUAAGGAUUCCAAAUUUAAAAAAUAUUGUUUAAAAAGUCAAAUAUUACAAAUUUCAAUGCUUUAAUUGCACAUAUUUUCAUAAAAAUUUACUAUUAAUUGUCCUUAAAGAGUGUCUGGAGGCACCCGUUAACAUUUCCCAAAUUUUAAUACUAACAACUAAACUAAUUUUACACACAUACGAUUGAUGAUCAAGAAUAAUGCAUGAUUUAUCAUUUUCAAUCGCAUCCGUCUACAAAAUGGAAUUGAUUGUGGUCAAUGAGAUGAUCAAUUCAAACAGAUGUUGACAACUCGUUUUUCAAGCUAAAAGGGUGUUGAUUUUGGUGAUAACCUUUAUAAGCCUCAUACUAAAAAAAAACAUCAAGGUUGUCACAAUGGAUUUCAAGGGGGGCUUGGAAGUCCAGUUGACACUUGUGGUUGCAACCAUUUGAGUCAAAUUUAGAGGCGGUAGAUGACGUGGAGACAAACAAUCGGGGAAUUAUUUACUACGACACAACAUUGCUGAGAUAAAACACUAUUAAAAUGAGUUAUACAUGGAGUAACAAAAUGAUUGAUGUAGUCGAAGUAUGUUAGAUUUACAACUAAAAUGAAUAUUUAGUUUGUACGACCUAACUUAACUGGUAUUGUCGGCAAUGUUAGACUCAAUAUCUUCACUUGAGUUCGAACCUAAGACUUUUCAAAUGUGUGUGAGUUCAGUGGUAAAAAGAUAUUUAUAAAUGCACUACUUAGUGAGAAGUCUCUGAUUUUUUUGGUCAAGAGAGAAUUCUUUGCUUUGAUCAUUAUAUAAUAAAAAUAAUUUUAAUAUUUAUACCUAUAAUUUUAAUCUAAAUCAAAAUAAUUUCAAUUAAAAACAAAAUUUAAUAAUAAUAAUGAAAUUAACAUAUACAAAAGAAAUAUAUUCCAAAAUCUAUAUAACAAGAAUCUAAAUUUAAUUAUAGAGUAGAAUAAUUAUUGAUCAGACUUUCGUACCUAUUAAUCGAACUUCAAAUUACCACUAUUUCUUUCUCCAAAAACCGGAUGGUACUAUAACACUUUUUUUAUUUUUUUUCUAAUGAGUCAAAUGUAAAAACUUUUUUAUUGAAAUUUGUGAAUUUAAUUUAAUUUUUAACUUUUAAUUAAUUGAAUGCACAAAUUUUAAAAAAUAUUUUUAAUUUUAAAUUGCUUAACAUGUGCGGCACAAAUUAACAUGACAGAUCUUUAAUAACACUUUUUUUUUUUUUUAAGGAUAAUAACAACACAUUUUUAUAGAAGUGUGUUCUUCUAUAGAUUACAUUUUGAAUCUAUGGCACUCUCCAUUGCAUCAUUUACACGUCCACAUAGACAAUAUCACAACACAGAAGAUAAAGGAAGGGAAUGUCCGCGGCAUGAACAAUAUUCCCGCAUGUCACAUGAAAGUCACGAAGUGUGUGAAUCUGAAUCCAACGUUAGGGUUCGUGGGCCAGCAUUACGUGGGUCCCAUCUAUACGUAUCCGCGUGGGCCCACCAUCUGCUUGCUUCUGAAAUGAAUGAACCGUGAAAUGUUGCAGUAGCCUCGCCGCAAUUAUUGCUGGAAAGUCAAAAAAAAAACUCACCAAACAACACUUCUCAACCCUCACACUGCUGUCGUUUUCCUAAAUAAUCCGAAAGGAACAAACUUUGUUGCAAUCUUGCAAUCACCUUAAGAAUUGUUUGAUUUGAUUAGUAGCAAUCUAUAAAUCACGGAUAUGGAUAUCGGCUAUGAUACAGACAUGAUAUAAUUAAUAAUUUAAAGAUAAAAAAAUCACAUAAUUCAGUACAAUUACAAGUGUCGGUGUCGUGUUGGUGAAUACGACAUGUGUCCAACAUUAGGACAUAUCUAAUUCGAGUAGUAUCCGUGUUUGCAGUAAUUAGUUUUGUAUAGAAUUUAUGUAUUUGGGGUGAUAAGAUUAAGAGUAAAAAUAUGUUGUUGUCAACUAGAACUAUAGUAGGGUAGAUUCCAUAAAAUAAAAUAAAAUGAAGUGUAGAUGAAUGUUGCCACAUAAUAUAUUUGUCAAUAACUGAUUACUUUACUCCAUAGAUUUCGUUUUUGAUUUAAGUAUAUGAUGUAUCAUUGUUGUCCAUGUGCAUAUCUGUUUCUUUGUUUGCAUAAUGAAACCAAUGACUAAACAAAACCAGGGACAAAUGGACAACGAAACAUUCCAAUUACUACUUUUAUUACAUUGAUUGAUUGAUGAUUGCUUGAAUAAAUGUAGUGGAAUCGCACCAUACCCUACCCACCAUGAUUUGUAUGUAUGGGAGACCUAAACCCCGUUUAAAUGGGUUACCACUUAGCAUCCUUCAAUUUCUUAAGCGUUCAACUUUCAUUUUAUUUUUAGUUUCUAACUAAAAAAAUAGAAAUGAUGAUAACCCUAAAAAGAUUAGAAGUAAAGAAAAUUUCUUAAACACUAAAAAAAGUUUAAAAAGGAUAAAAACUUUAAUAUCAUAGUCUACUCAUCCACGUCGUCUAUCAAAUCAUCUACACAUCAAACAAUUCAAUAAUGUUGCAUAUGAGGAGUAUAUUAGGAGAAACUCAAUUUCCACAAAAUAAAAUAAAAAAUUUGAGUCAAAUGUUUUUUAAUAAACAAUGGCAUUGUUCACUAACCUGGAUUUGAUACGGUUAACAAAUCGAGGGGUCACACAUCAAUAGUUAUUUGAUUAAGAUCAAACAAUUAAGAUUUGAACUCGAUAUAUUUAGAAUUAUACGAUAAAAAUCUACAUUUGUAUCUUUGAAUUAUCAAAAUGAGGUCUGACAAGCGUCAAUGUUUCGACUGCAUGACUACAAGAAAUCAUGACCGUGGAAAUUCAAUCUUCACUGUUCAUCUUAUAAAUAAUUGGAAAUGGAUUGUCUAACUUUGAGUUAAUUUUGGUAACUUUAUGCAUAAAAACUAGAGAGUGUGAUAGAUUUGGAGAGAAAAUCGAGAGAAAAGAUGUGAGAGAAAAUAAAAGAUGAGAAAGGUAUAGAAUCCUAACCCACAUAAUUGUAUCAAGAAUGAGUUAGAUUCGGAUUGCAUGCGGUCAGUAAGAUCCUGAGCGUAUAAUCUCAAUUGGACGAUUCAAAUUUUAAAAUAAAAAGUUUAUAUUAAAAUCUAAGUCGUCAGAUUUAUCUGAUGGUUAUGAUUUGUUGACUGCAGCUUGACUGCACGCCAAGAGACUAAAUUGAAUCCAUUUACGAAUGAGUUUGAUUGGGUGGGGUUUAGUAUGGGAAAGGAGAGUUGUUUCCUACCAUGAGAAAGUUUUUUUGAAUCAUUAAAUUAAAGAGGAGUAUUAAUUUUAUCAUAGACUGCUUACACCAUAUUUUUUUUCCUCCUCUUUUACACUUUUUUUUUUCUUUCUGAGAUCUGCAAUUUUUUCUUUCCUUGAUCUGGAAUUUUUUUUAACGAGCACCCCAUAAUAUCCCUUUGUCUAAAUAUGAGAUCAGCCCCUCCAUAAACAACACUACAAACUUCUUGUCCUUCCUCAACAACUACAUGAUUUUCUCCAAAUUAAUGUUCUCUUUUAAAUCAUAACCCUUACUUCUAACCUUAUUAAUUGCCCAUGUCUCUUCUUCUUGUUUUUUCAGCUCAACUUACGAUCACUGUUUUUUCAAUCAUAUCCAUAAAGAGUUGUCUACUUUAAUUUAAUUCAUUGUUGAUUUAAUUUUUGGUGCUCAAGCCUCGCCCAUGACAAUUAACCAAGCGUUUAUUCUGCUCAAAAACUUCAUCCAGUUAAACAAUUAUUGAUAAAUAAAAAGCAAGAUUAGAGAAAUUAGAUUUUGGACUUUAUAAAAAAUUUCAUUUAUUUAAUUCAAGAAAUAAGGCAGGUGUAGCAAUAUGAAGAAGAACAGACGAGGGAAGGAGAAGAUGGUGGGACUAUGGAGGAAAGAGGAUGGUGGUGGAAGAAAGUGUCUAAAAUAAAUCUUAUGUGGAAAGACUACAAUAAAAAUGUGUUCUACAUUUAAUCUAAUGGUUAAAAAAAAAUUUUCCACGAUAGGAAACAACUUUCCUUUCCCAUGCUAAACCUCACCGUUUGAUUGGGUGAAUAUAUAACAGCCUAAUAACUUAACCACCAGUCCAUCAUCCAAUCCACUUAUGUCAAAAGUCAAAACCAAUUCUAUUUAUAGAUAAUUUGUGUUGUAUUGUCAAUUUGCUAUGCCCAUUGUAUGUUUUAGUACUUAGGAGAAAAAGUCAAUUAGUCUUUUGAGUUUCGGUACUCGUCCUUUAUGAGCUGGAACGAAAUGUUGAACAGAAUAAGCAUGUUGUUUCAUUUCUGUUUUUAUUGAUACAGCCUCCUUAUCAUUCAAUUUGCUCUAACUGUGGUGUGAAAUCGUGGCGUGUAGGCAAUGUUGAACAUUAUUCAUUUCACAUACGUAGCAAAGGAAAAAAAACAAGUAAUUCAUUUUUUAUAUAACUUAAUACUACUCCAUUUUUUUUUUUUAAAUGGAGAGAUCCUUACUUCUCUUAGAUAUAAACAUAUAUAUAAUGAUGUUCUCACAUAUGUUAAAAAAAACUAACCACUCAAAUUCUUCGUCAUGUAGUUUAACUGCGAGAAUCUCAUACAUUAAUUGUGGAUUUUAAUAUGCACUUCAACAUAUCAAAUGUUCAGUUCUUUUUUUUUAAUUUAAUUAACCCUCCAAUUUUCGUGAAGGAAGUCUUGAUAAUUCGGAGCUCGUCUUUUAGAUAAUAUAGUCUGACUAAGAAUUGUUCCACCUAAAAAUUGAAUUUAAGUUUUUCGAACGAUUCGUCCUUUGAUCGAGUUUAUUAACCACUUGAGCUGGUUUGGUUAUUUCUCUUCUGUUAUUGUUAAACCGUGAAUGUACUUAGCAAAUUUAAUGUUCAUAGAUUUUUCGGAAAUACCAUUUUUUAUAUUAAUCUCUAUCUCAAAUUAUACUAGUAUGUCACUAUGUAGGAUAUAUAUUUAGGGACACAACAUUUUUCAAAUGGGACAUAUAUUAGGAGCAAAAGGGCAUUGUUUUAUUACAAUUAGAAAAGAGAAAUGAUAUUUGUACAACCAUUUUUGUACAACUUUCUCUCUCAUGCUCACAUUAUCUUCUUAUUCUCUCUCUUCUUUUUUCUCUCUAUUGGUUUUAACCAAUGAGAAGAGAGGACAACAAGAUUGUCACAAAAGUUGUACCAAAAGAGUUGUUCAAAUAUUAUUACUCAUUAGAAAAAUGGUGUACAUGUAAAUUAACUAGCAAAAAUCAGUUAUCGAUAAUUAAACUGUCUUUGAAGUAUUUUCUUCACUUUAGGGUGGUUGAGAGUAAAUCUAGAGUGUCUAAAGAGCAAUUUUCCAGUCCCUGUACAAAAAUUCUGUCAGCAUUUUUAGUCCCUGAAUAUGAUAAAGGAAAAAGUUAAAAAGACUAAAAAAUGUAAUUUUUUUUAAGGAUUAAAACUGAAAUUUUGGAUAUUUAUAGGGAUCAUUUAUCAAAUUAACCCAUUUAAUUAUUGUGCGUGGUUACUUUGAAACUUUUUCGCACAAAAUUUCAUACCAUUCAUGUCAGUCAAAUAUAAUUGAAUGUACUAUCGGGGUUGGUCUAGCAGAAUAGGCUAGACUCUUGAAACGUAGGAAAUCAAUAUUCAAAUUCUCACUAAGAGAGAUGUUCAUAAUUAAUAUUUGAUACUACCUUUAAUUCAUUUGAUGUUAACAUAUUACAUGUUUUGUGAAAGAAUAUUUUAUAAGAUUUUAAUCAUGUCUACAAAAAGUCAUUCAAAAAUUUAAAAUUUUAAUGAUAAUUAUAUAAAUUUAAGCUUAAUAGAGACUAAAACUUCAUGCUGAAAAAUUCUAUAUGGACUAAAACUUGCAACUUUUUUCGGGUGCAACGUUUUUUAUGCAUUCUAAAAGCAAAAUUUGAUAUAUUUGUAGGGGAAAAAACUUAUUCAACCUAUAAAGAAAUUAAUUGAACGCUUUGAUAAUAAUAAUUAAUAUCCUCUUAAAAAAAUUAAUAUGAAAGAUAAAGUAAGCUAAAAUCAUUUUGGAAUCACAAUCAAACUAUAAUAAUACUGGGAAUGGGUGUCUAACAAUGAAAAAUAACAACACAACAUCAUCUAUGUAUGGAAGAAAUAGCAGACAAUUCUCAUUUACACCUCCCCGGAAAUUGGUAUGGUAUUUGGAGGUUUAAGGUGCCUCCGAAAGUGAAGAAUCUGAUUUGGAUAGUGUGUCGGGGGUGCUUACCAACGCGAGCAAGAUUGCUGGAUAGAGAGGUAAAUUGCUCACAAGUACAAGUUGAGCAGUUUGUAACGAUUUUGUGGAGCUUAUGGAAAAGCCGCAACAUACUCGUAUGGCAAAAUGGUACCGAAACAUGUCAAUCUAUUCUUGAGCGCGGGAGGCAGCUGUUGAUUGUUUGGAAAACAGUGAACAGUAGCAUGCAACAGAGUGGGGUUGUUGGGAAUGGAGUUGGUACACAUAUACCUGAACAUAUGUUAGCUGUCAGAGAGGGUACCAUGCAGCCAGUACAGCCCCCAGCGAAAAAAACCAGCGUUAGGAAGGCUGAAGUCUAAUGUAGAUGCGUAGUUUUCGGAUGCAUUAAUUGUGUUGGUUAUGGCAUGUGUAUUCGGGAUGAUACCUGGAACUUUGUUAUGGCUAAAAUGAUGUGGUCGAAUCCGGUGUGCUCGUCGGAUAUUGGCUAUUCAUUGGGUGCGCAAUCUACAACUUACAAAUGUGGACUUUGAAUUAGAUGCAAAGAAGGUUGUAGAUUAUUAUAAUAGAGGAAGCAAUGACAUCUCCGAGUUUGGAGCAAUUAUCAAUGAGUGUAGGAGGAAACAGAGAGCUUUUGAGGAAAAAGAGAGACCAUACAACAAUCACCUAAAGUCCUUAUCUUGAUGGGCUUGGUCCGGCCUUGUAUAGAAAAGCACAUGAGUUUAGCCUAAUGGCCAAAUAUAUGAAGGUUAAACUUUGCAAAGUAGUGUUGUUUAUAACCUUGUAGAGCAACCUAGAAAUCAAGGAGAAAAUAAUUUAUUGAUGCUAAGAGCUACUAACAUGUUCUGUUGUUUAUGAGAAAAGAGAAUAACAGAACCUUAAUACAUUUCCAGGCAUGCUGAAAAACAAGGACUUGGUUGAGUGUUGAGAUAUUUUCCUCAUUAGGAUCAAUGGUUUACACAUUUUGUGCAACAUAAUAGAGAAACAUGAAGAAAAAGGAGAAUGGCAAAAUCUUCAAAAGGCUACAGAAUGGAAGAUACAAACAAUUCAACUACUUUGAAAGUUAAUUUACACACCAAUGUUUAUGAUUAUGAGUAAAAAAAUCCAAUAGAACUUCAGAAACUCUAAAUAACCCAAAAAUAUAUAGAAGAUAUAUGAUUCCAUCACCUAUAUCACCCCCCCUACAAUUGCCAUCCACUACUUCCUCCUCUCUGUAACACCAUUUCACAAUAUUAAAUGGUGUUUUAGCAAAGACUUUCCAUGCAUCUAUACAUUCCAUGUUAUAACCAUUAGCCUCUUUGUUUUCCAUUUCUUCCACUGUGUUUUCCCAUAAAACAUUGCCAACAGAAACAACUCAUGCAACAACUUGGUCUUGAACAUUUAGGGUAGCAACAAGGCAAUGAACAUUUUGGACAACAACAACCAGGCAUUGAGCAUUUUGUGCAGCAUGUUGAUCCGAAACAAUCUGUGAACUUCGGUAAGCGGCAACACUUGAUGCAGCUAGGUUUCCAGCAACAAUCAGGACAAUUGAUAGACAGGGAAAAAUUUAUGCAGCUGCAGCAGCUAGAGCAUUUAGGUAACUUGCAUUUGCAGCUGCAACAACACUUCAUACUAGGGCAUGUACAUGUGGAGCAACAUUUCGACUUUGAUUUUGAUUCCAGACUUUGUCGGAUCUUUUUGAGGCGCUUUUCAGUUGUCAUCUUCUCCAUUUCUUGGAUGAAUUUGCAUAGAUGGCGUAUGUAAUCAGGGUAAAGCUCUAAGUUGCAGUGACCGCCUCCUUUGAUCCAUAAGGGUUCAUAUGACUCCCUUGCCAUUUUCCAUAGUCGGUUGCCAUGUAACCAAUUGACCACAUCAUCUUCUGUACCCUGCAAAAUAAUUUAGCAUGUCCAUCAUAACAUUUUUGUUCUCGUUAAAUUUUCAGUUUUGAUCUAUUUUUCUGUUUUAAACAUGCUACAAUUUUAGGUGCACAAUAUGUAUUUUAUGCAGAUGAUAUGAUUUAAUUGCAGAGUUGAAUGAAGAAACAAAAUUUCCUCAAUGUAUUUAUCAUAUAAACUGGUGAGGUGACAAAAAAAAAUGUCAACUAUAGGAUGCAAUUAAAGUGGAUGAAAUGAAGUAAUGUUCACAUGUGAUCUGCAAUAGAAAGUACACCUUCCAGACCCAUUUGAAAGCAAUUUGCACACUUAAUUAAGGAUGGUAGUCACACUAAAAAAUUAAAGUGCAUUGAAUUUUCUUAAUUUAAUAAAACAAAGGAUAUAAAUUUACUACAGCAGGACCAGCAAUAGUCACUCUAAAACUAUUCCAACACUCACUCUCUUAAUGUGUAAAAUACAUGUGGAACCCAACACUAUAUGUGGGGUCUAGUUCCAAAAUGGUGAGAUCCAUGUGCAUUUUAUCCAAUAAAAUAGUAAGAAUGGGAAAGAGAGGGUUAGAGUGAGUAUUGCUAGCACUUCUCACAUUUACUAACCUACCUCUAAUUAUGAUGGUGAUAUCUUCAAAACAUUAAUGGAUCCGUUUAAGGUAUUUUUGGAAUUACAACAUUAGAUGUGGAUAUAUUAGUUGACAUUCGGUUAUAUUCGAGUCCAGCAAACUCAAGCUAUUUUUUGCUUAUAAUUGAGUCUAGACAAGUAUCACACAAGCUUAAAACAACAUUUUACUGCACAAACACCGGAUCGACAAUGUUGUACAGAAGUAAAUGUACGCAAGCAGAAAGGAGAGUUAAUCAAAUGGAGGAAAAUACAUAUGUUAGAGGUGGUAGACCUUAAAAUCUACAGGCCAUCGACCAAUAGAGAUUUAGAGGUAAAUAAUCUAUCUAUAAAUCUAACACCAUUGGAUUUUAUGGCAUUGGUUGAUCUAUGUAGCCAACAUCACUUAAUGGAAAAUUGUUUCAUUUUUAUUGUUGUGCGCGACUAGAGAAAGAACACAAGGCCUAGCUACCAUGAAAUUCAAACAGGAUGGUGGAAAGUGUGCUUUAUCCAUGUAUAGUAUAAACUCCAAAACUAGAGAAUCAAUCAUUAUGCACAAUAAUUGCUAUGUCUACUACUUGCGUCAAAAGAAAUAAAUACGAAGAGGAAAAGAAGUAUGAUUGCAUUGCAUCAUUUACUUACAUGUAUUACAAGGACAGGACACUUGACCUUCUUUAUUUUGUUGAUGUUCUGCAUGGUUGGAAAAGGGAAAAAACAAUUAGAUCAUAUGAGAUGAUGGAACAAAAUAUUAUACUCAUUUUAUAUCUUCUAAGUAUACAAAACUAGACAUCUUAAUCCGAAACUCUUAUAAUUUAAGUUGCUGGCCAUUAAUAAAUGAAAGACACAUUUUUCUUUUUAUCUAAAGAUUCUGAACCAAAAUAUAUAAUUUACACAUUUGCAUUUUAUAGGUUAACAGCACGAAAUUCAAUCGAAAUUAUUUUCAAUGAGCUGUAAAUUAAGUUUUAGUUAAUUUAAAAUCCAAAUAACGGCAUCUUAAAAAAUGAGUCUUCAUCAACGUCACGAAAAAAUUCUAUGAAGAGGUCAAGUAUAAUUUUAUUAAAUAGUUUGAUUCUCCUAUUACCUUAUAAAUGUCAAAGCAAAAAGAGAACUUCACAUGACAGAGAACUCGAAGACCAGAAAGAAUGCCGCUGUGUAGAACCACGCCUCUCAGCCUCGGCAACUUAGCUGCCAAAUGCAAUGUUGGUCCACUUCCAACUGAUUGCCCGUAUAAGAUUACGUCUUCCUGGCCAACUCCAUAUUUGGUUUCAAGGCAUUCAUAUAUCGCCUCUAUGUCAGCAUAUGUGCUGGAUUCACUAGGCUGCAUAAUUUGAAAGUAUUAGCAUUACUAUCUAUUUGUUAAUGAAUUUAAUUUCAACAAAACAGAAUUGUGCUUUGUGUGUAUGUGUGUGCGCGUGCAAUCCAUGGUUGCAACAGAACUAACUAUAGUUGUAUUUGCCAAAAAAUAGCCUACCUUGCCAGUAGAGGCACCAUAUCCAGAAUAGUCAUACCUGUGGGGGGGAAAAACGUUAAAAAACACAUCAACUUUUCAGCUUUAGUCUAGAAAUGCUGGCAAUUCAAAUGAUUGAAAAACAAAAAAAUUAUUUUUUUCAAAGACUAUUUAUAUUAAUUAAUCACAUUGAUGUUCAAAAUUGAUUCAAUCAAGUCCUUAUUAUGUGCUUAAUUGAAUCAAAUUUAUAGACUGUCAAGAGUCAAUUAGAUUGAUGUAAAUCAAACCAUUUAUGGACCAAUGUACAUAUUCACUUUUUAAGUAAAAGCUCAAGAUCUAAUAACCAAUAGCAUAUUCCAAUGAAACUUCUAAAGCAAAUGUGCACUAUAAAUUUAUAGAAAAGCUAAAUAGGGAACUUCAAAUCAAUAAUAAUGGCAAAAUAUACUAUUAUAUGAUAGAGAGAUAAUGAAAGAUUACAAUAAUUCAAAGAUGCAAAAUGAGAAAAUGUUUAGCGUGUGUAUGGUUUCGCUGAGACAAAUUAAUUUCCAAUGAAUUGAUUCUGUAAAUUUAUUAUGCCUAAUAGUAAAUCGAAUGUAAGCGGCUUAUGUUUUGAUACAUUCAUGUAAAAGUGGGUUGAAAAAUAAAUUUGAGGCUAAAAAGUUAUAAAUCAUUUGUAGAAACAAAAGCUGCAAAUUCUAGCUUCACGUUAGAGUCAAUUCCGUAAGGCAAAGACAAUUCUACUCGAGAACAUCCAAACAUGUCAAAAUCAAUUAUACUUACAUCUCCAUAAUCAAUUUUGCCUCCUCCAAAAACUGGAACCAAACAUACAUUUAUCAUUUUCUUUAAUUCUAAUUCUUUAAAAGGAAAAUAAUGUUGGUAGUAGGGAUAAGAAAAUUAAAAACUUUCAAAGAAAACCAAGGGCUCCAUCCCCAUAAAAACACCAAAAAACUCUAUGCUAUGUCCACAUCCAUGUAGGGAUAAAAACUGGAAAACUUUAAGCUGAUAAGAAAGAAAUUAAGAAAGUAAAACAAAGGACAAAGAAAGUUCAGAAAAAAUUGCUACAAACUACCAAGAAGAAAAAGUUAGGCCAAUAGAAUCUAAACAAAGGUAAAAUCUUUAUCAAUGUUUCAGAAUCCAUAAAUACAUGCUGCUUUUAUUUUCCCUUUCCUUUUCCUUUUCACUUUAACUUUUUCAUUUUUUGUUUGUUUGUUUAGGGAAGACACUCUCUGGUGCCAAAAGCCUUAACUUCAUCUACUUUCUACUUGUUAUUAUUAUUGCAUUGAAAAGAAACAGUAAAGAAAAGACAUUUACAUUGUCAUUGUCAUUUCUUGGAUGUUUGGUAUCACCAUGGUUACUCGAAAACACGGUGGCCCAAUGUGAUUUUGCAAAAUCAAUGCGAGUCACCGUGAUUUCGACAAAUUAACCUGAUACCAAACAUGCACAUCACAUUACACACAUGUUCACAUUGACCACCAGAUCUAAAACACAUACUCACACAUGUGGAUAACUUAUAAACAAAUAAAAACAUAAACCAAUGCAUAGAUUAACAUAAUAGUUUCAGAUCUAGUACACUUAACAAAACCCACUAAGACCAAAUAAACUAUAUUUUUGUUACCUAAUAAGAAAGAGAAAGAGUAAAACACAUCAAGAUAAUACAAAACAAGGGUCAGUGGUUAACGUGAUGUCUUUUGAAUAGAGUGAAAAUUGUGAACAGACAAAAAAGACAAACACAUCAAACACACAAAACAAAAACAUAACAUAAACAUAAACAUGAACAUGAACAAACUAAGACAAAUUCAUGUUUUUUUUUCAUGAUUAAUUUGAAAAAUUAUAAGAAAAAAGCACUAACCCCAUGAGAUUAACUCUGAGAUUAACCUUAAGUUGAACAAAGAGAUCAUAAAGUUGACCUAAAUCAGCAGCAUUGCCAUGAGAAUAAAGCAAAGUUAAUCUUGCAUAAGGGUUCUUAAGAUAAAAAGCAACUAUCUUAUUUCCAUGUUUUGUAUCAACAAGAAGAACAUCCAAUGAGUUAUCAUCAGGAUGAGGAAUCGGAGACGCGGUGGAAACCACCGUGAGUUUGCCGUCAUCAUUCUUCUUCAGCUGAUACGUUGGUGGUGAAGGUGGAAAAAAUGCAAAUUUUGAAGCUAAAGAAGACACCAUGCAACCCAUUCACCAACCAACACAAAACAAACUCAUUUGUUGAUUAUAAAGACUUAGAGAAAAUUUCAAAAUGGCCCUUUUGAACCUUAUGAUAUAAUAAUUUGUGGGUAGGCUUCAAAAUUUGAACUUUUUUUGUUGGUUUGUGAUGAGAGGUGGUGGAGUUGCAGGGUACAGUGAUGAUGAGAAUAGGAUUUUUUUUUUUUUUUUUUUGGUUUAGCCCCACUUGAAAUUUGCAGAGAUUUUCAGAGAGAGAGAGUGAGGUGUUAAUGUUGCAGCAGAAACUAGUUAUGGAAGUAUGAAAGUGUAGUACAGUGAGAAGAUGUGGAGUGUAGUGAUGUCAAGAGAAUAGAGAGAGUGAAAUUGAAGCUUUCAAAGGGAAGGACAAAGGUUUUUCAUUUUUAAUUUGAUAUAUCAAAAAUAUAUAUUUUUAUAGUAAAAAAGUUUAGAUGAGUUGGAUUUCGUAAAUUCACUAGAUCAGAGAGCAUACCUCGUGAUUCAUGUAACGUUAACAAAUAGAUUUACAAUUUUAAAAAAAAAAUUAUACUUAAAAGUUUAUAGAUGAAUCAACUUUUUAUCAACUGAGUCAAUAUUUAGUUAAUAUGAAAUUUUUUGAUUUUAUAUUUAUUUGCAUGACUUCAUAGUUGUCAGCUACACAGAGAAACAGGUCUUGUUGUAUUGCUGCUAACUGACAAUUUUUAUUGGAAAAUGAAUGAUUCUUUCCUAAGAGGUGGUUUAUUGAAAAUAAGAUUUAAUUUCACUUACAACUAUUGCAUGUGUUCACAUCUAGUAGUUGACAAUAUUUGUUGAAUAAAAAUUAUCUUUAGUCGAAGCAAUAAGAAAAACAAAAAUUAUAAAUAUUCAAUCUCAAAUCUAUGCAAAUUAAGUUGCUUGUAUAUCCAAUGAUUGGAUCUCAGUCAGUGCAACAAAGCUAAGGUUGUGGAGGAGGUUUGAUCUCUACAUAGCACAUUGGAUUAUUAUGGUAGUUUUCUAAAAGAAAUAUAGUAUCCUCACACAUACAUCUUGUUAAAAAAAUAGGAUCUUCAUACAUACAUCUUGUUUAGAAUUAAUAAAAGUGUUUACAUUUGAUUGAUAAACAAAAAUUGAUUAAAAAAAUUAGGUUAUUGUCAUUGGUCGAGUUAAAAAAAAAAUAGUUGUCUAGCAAAAACUUGGUAAUGUAGUGAUUAGAGAUUAGGGAUGAGUGUCUUCAUGUUUGAAAUGUGUGCUUCUUUGUUUGACCAUGUCACCAUAUUGUGUUGUUAACAUUGCACAAAAGGAGCUAUUUAGGGACUCAUUUGUACAACUUAAAUAUAGGGGCAUGUAAUUAUACAUUUUUAAUACUCAAAAAACUAAAAGUACAAUUACACAUCUUACUUUGAAGGAUAAAGAAAUAAAUUUUAGCCAUAGGUUAAUAUCUAAAAAAUAUUCACAAUUUGCUAAAAAAAAUAUAUCAACAAUUUUAUUUUAUUUUUUUAACAUGUAAAACUAAUUCAUCAAAUUGAAUAGGAUCACAAUGAACAACUUAAUUGUCUCUCAAGAAUUUUCAUGUUGUCCAUCCACAUGACUGAAUUCAAAUCCAAGAAAUAUCUAAUUAAAUUCGUAGAGAUCUAAAUCAUUUCAUCAAAAUGUUAUUGGGUCACAAUUUGUCAUAUAUGUGUAUGUCGUAUUAAUAAUCAAUUUUAAUAGUUGAAAUUUUAUUAAUUUUUAGUUUUCUUUUAAAUAACCCGCGCAAAUAUUAUUGUUAUGAUCAUAGUAAUUAUUUCAGUAUUUUUUUUUUAGAAAAGAAAUUAUUAUAUUAAUAAUAUUAUUAGAGUCAUGUUAACUUAUGUCCUAAUGACACGUGUUAAAGAACUCAAAAAGAGUAACUUUGCAUUGAAAAACAUAAUAUUUUAAUUUUUAAAGAGUUGACUAUACGAAUUUUAAUAUGUAUAUUUCUAUAAUGAGUUUGUUAACGUGUGUUCUUGAAGGCACAAAUUAACAUUUGCCAUAUUAUUAUUAUUGUUAUUAUAUUAAUAUUAAAAAUUAGUGUUGCUAUUGUAUUUUCUGAUCACUUUAACUUGCAAGUGUGAUUUCAUGCGUGUGCAACUUGAUCGAUCUGGCUCUACUAGUAGUAAAGUAACUAAACUUUUAUCGAAUAAUGCCAAAUUAUAUAGUAACGUUUCUUUGAAACUUUAAGAUAGCGUGCUGUAGUGUUCAAAGUUUUGAUAAGGAGUCAUUUCAUAAUUUGCAUUGGCAUGAGAACCUUACACAGUAAAAGAUUUUUAAGGUAUAGUAGUACUUGUUAAUUUCAUAUAUGAAUCUUCAUCUCUAAGAUGUCCUUAAUGUCAAUUUUGAUGGCUUUGUAUGAUUAAUUAUCGAUAUGAUCACAAACAUAAUCAUGCUUUAGGGAAUAAUUCUUGAUCAAAAGGAAAAAAAGUUUGCGGAUAAUGCGUUUGCAAGGGAGAUAAAGUAAUAUUUUCAUCAUUAAUAAAGCCAAAAUUGUCCUCCAGGUGGUGAUAAUUAGGUGAAAAAAAACUACUUGGAGUUUCUAUUGCCUUAAUUUUUGUUUUUUCUCUAUGUAAAGAGGGGGAAAUUGUGAUUGGUAAAAUAAAAGAUCGUGAAAGGAAAUUGAGUGUGACACAACGGACAAUGACUAGAGUUAUUUGUUAAUGCAAAUAGUUAAGGGGGAAAAACAAAAAUAAUAUAUUGAAAGAAACUUUGUUUUAGUAUACAAGAAAACAGUAAUUUUAGAUUUGCAAAAUGAUUUUUUUUAAGGAAAUUUGCAAUUUCUAUAUUAAUUUUCUUGAUAAACCCCCUUAUCAUUUUGCAUAUUAAUAUUAUAAGCAAAUCAUGUACAUAUUAAUGUAUCUUACGCACGAUAACAUCUGAAUGAGAUGAUAAGAAAUAUUUUUUUUAUUUAACUAGAGGGUAUUUCAUUAAAAAAAAACAAAUAUGCUCCUUUUUAUUUUAAACAAAAAUAACUAAUGUUGCUCUUUGAAAUGAAAUUAAGAACAUCUCUAAUAGAGAGAAAAUAAUGAACUCAAAGUUGUUUUCAUAAGUGGUCUUUGUAAUGUCACGCCUCUUAAUCAAUCCAAACAUAUUUAGUUUAAUGGUAAAAAUUUAAGCAAUUUUUUUUGGAACGAACACUUUAUAAUAAUAUUAGUAGCCUUUGGAGAUCUAUCACGAAAAUCAUGCAAGAAUUGGACGAAAAACUCAAUAGCAUCAAUGAGUAUAAUUUUAACCUCCUCUUUCUCGGAACUAAAGAUAAACACCUUAACAUCACCCAUAGAAACGACAUGGAGCUCGUCAAAACCCGCAUCCAAUAUAUGUUGUUGUAACAGUGGUAUACUCUCAAGUCUCAACAUCAAACACUCUUUCGACCAACCAUUUAUGUGCCCAUUCCAUGUCUUUUCUAGCAUAGUUAACCUCCAGACCCUUCCUCCUUGAAUGAGCACUCUCACCAUGUGUCACACCCUCGUCGCUCCUUUCUUCCCCUUUAAACACACAAUCCUCCAUCCUAGUCAUUGUCACUGCGUACGACUGCCUCACCUCCCCAAUGAACCUCUAAAUUGACCCACUAUAUCUCCCUUUCGAACACAUCUGGCUCCCAUCACCUCAUUUUCCACCCUCGCCGUUUUCACUUCUUCAUACCUUUCCACCUUAAGCCGCCCCCCCACCCCCACUCUCACACACACACAACACAAUCUUCCUCUCUAUCGACAACCCCUUCUCCACCUUAUGUUGUCCUUCUUAGCACAUACAAUUUCUAUGACGCCAAGUCCACCAAACAAUAUCAAUGAAGAUGAAUGAGAUCCAUUAGUGUCAACCUUAAGUCCAAUUGUGCUCAGUCAUGUUAGGGUAGAAAUCUGAGUGAGUGAAACCAACAUGCUACCAAAUGUUUCUAGAAUAAAUGCAAUCUUGCAUACAAUAUAGAAAUGUUUCCUUUAAAAAAAAAUAUUAGAGACAUUUGUUUUUUACGAUAAAAUCUUAGAGACUCUUAGGCAUUAUUUUUUAGUGUAAAUUCGGUUUCACAACUCUUGGACACUAACUUUUUUUUUUUUUGUCAGACAACUUAGUGGUUAGAAAUUCACUUUAAAUAAAAAGGGUGGCCGAGGUUUGAAUUUUGACUUCUGCAUAAAAUAUACAAUAUUUCUACUAACCGAAUUAAAUUCAUGGAGACAAUAUUUUUAUGCAUGUUGUACUAUUUUCUUGUGUGACUGAUUUCUCAAUUUAUAUUGCUCUGUUUGUUGACAUUGCUCUAUUUUUUUCACUUGAUUGUCAAAUCAUUUCAUGAAUGCGAUGAGUCAAGAAUUUCUUAAUUUAUUAAAUGAAUGGCGAUACAUCAUUAAGGACAUGUGUAUAUUUUUAUAUACAAUAAUUUUAUUCUUCCUUAAAAAAACAAUAUAUACUUGCGUGUUUAUAAAUUUAGAGAAAUAAUAUUUGACAUUCCCUAAACAAAAAACAACGACAUUAAAACUUCUAUAUCAAAUAUGAUAUUUUUAUUUGUACUUUUGAAACUGUAACUUGUAUAAGAUAAAAAGGUAAGAGAGGAAAGGAUAAAUAUUUUCUUUGGAUUGGUCCAAAAAAGCUAAAAAAUAAAUGCUUAAAUAAAAGAUUAGUUUUUUUUGAAGGAAUAAAUAAAAGAUUAGUUAAUUAGUUAAGAAUAUAAUAUACACCAACUAAAUCACCUUGGUUAAUAAGAAAUUUUAGUAUCAUUCUCUCUUUUACAAAUCCUAGUUGUCACCUCCUUUUCUCUUUAUCUAUCGUAGAUGGAUGAUUUAUGAUCAAUUUUUACCCAAAGUUACUCCUUUGAAUUAUUUUUUCUUCUUUUUCUAAUUGAACAGAUGAUCUUCACAUAUUUUUAGUCUUCUUUCGUUUGCUUAUGUGAUUUCGUCGUCUCCACGACUCUGUUUGUUUUGAUUUUCUGUCUUUGAGCGGGGUGUUUUUGAUUUCUCAUCUUAAUGCGGUGUUUAUUUGAUUUAGUUGAAAGAUUAGUUUUGAGCAAGUGCAUAUCCGAUCAAUGACUUUUGCGUCGUCAACGUUGCAGAUCCGACGACAUGAGUAUUACGAAAACUUGAAUAGGACUAUAUUUGUAGGUUUAGGUACUUUGCACCUUUAUGCUAUUAACGUAGAUGGUAUAAGUUUUGUUCACAAAUUUAUCCUUUUUAUUUUUAACGACUUUGAAUUUGUAUUGUAACAUAUAUCGUUUACUUUUGUAAAAGAAAAAAAAAAAAGGCUUAAGUGCAGUUUUACCCCCCUUAUUUUUAUCGAAUUUGGAUUGUGCCCCACUUUUAUAAAACUCGGAAAUUUACCCCCCUAUUUUCAUUGAUUCUUGAUUUUGCCUCCCCUAUGUUAAAACUCGGACAUUUACCCCCCCCCCCCCCGAUUUUAUGUUUUUCAGGAUUUUGCCCCUUCCUCCUAUUUUAUCCACAUAAUUAAUUAUUUAUAUUAAAUUUUUUAUUUUUAUUUUUUAAUAAAAAAUAAAACCAGAAAAAUACUAAAAUAAAUGAAUAAAAAAUGCAUAAAACUAGUAUGGUCUCUAAAAUAAAAAAACUGGUAUGAAAAUAGAAAAUAUUUAGAGGUGCAAACUAGUUUUUUCAUGUAUUUUUAAUUGAAUUAUUUCUUGUAUUUUCAUUGUUUUUCUAUUUUUUUUGGUUUUUCUUGUUUUCUUUUUAUUUUUUUUUUCCGAAUUAAUAUGUUCUAAUCAUUUCUUUAUUUUUCUAGUAUUUAUUGGUUCUUUAUUUUAGAAUAGGGGGGCAAAAUCCUGAAAAACGUAAAACAGAGGAGUAAAAUUUCGAGUUUUAAAAUAAAGGGGGUAAAAUCCAGAUUCAAUCAAAAUAGAGGGGGUAAAAUUCCAAGUUUUAAAAUAGGGGGCAAAAUCCAAAUUCAAUCAAAAUAAGGUGGUAAAAUUGCAUUUAAGCCGAAAAAAAACCCUAAAAUAUUACUUGUAAGUAAACAGAGACCAUGAGUUUGUUCUCUAGCCCAAAAAAGGUCAAGUAGUCAAACACAUUAUAAAGGAAAGAGUUUUAAAAAAAUAGUUUUUUAUUUAAUAAAAUAAGAUUUUUUGUUCAUUUUUUCCCACGUCAAAAAUCAUAAUUUGUAGCAACUUUCAUUAAUACAUAAAUCACUUUCAACGAACACAAACAUGAUCAUUUAUGGUUUUGCCAAUUAUAAACAUAGAGACCCAAUUACCUGAAAAAAAAGUUGCCUCAUUCAUAAUCAAAUACGGACACAAAAGUUACAAACAAACCAUGUCUCUAACAUAUGUAAUUAAAUCCUUCAAAAAAACACAUAUGUAAUUAAACAAUAACCAAUAAAAUUGUGAUGGCUGACAUAUAGGGGGUACUAUAUAUGAAAAUUUAGUCCAAAAUUGGAAGCAUAGGACAAAAACUGGUUGCUAUGAAUCUAUGAUGUGUGGGACGAAAAUAACUUUGACAGCUACAAUAAUAUGAGCAAGGCAAAGCACGUGUGGCAGUAAGAUCAGUGAGGAAAUAUAGGCACACAAGGUAACAACUCAUCAGCUAGCUAGAUCACUGUGAAAAAUAAGAGAAUCAGAAUAUUCUACCUACGAUUCAUUUUCGAGUUUUCAAAUUUCAGACUUCUGUUUUUUGUGGUGAUCGGGAUUUAAAAUUCAAACCUUAUAUAUAUUAUGUAUUGUCUCUACCAACUGAGCUGAGUUCACGAAGAUCAACUUCUGCCAUAUAUAUACAAGAGGAAAUUAUUUAUGAAUAACCAAAUUGUACAAUCGACAACAUAUUUACAAUUUUUUAACCGAUUUCGAAUUGCAUGCACUAAGAAUGUUAUAUGGUGUUGGAAGGGUUGUCUGGAUUUUGGUUGUAUAUACAACACAUCUUCCCAUCAAGAUGGUCUUGUAACUUCUAUUAAGGUUUGAUAUGGUUAAGAUAUAAGUUGUAAAACUAGCUUAUUAGCUAAUUAUAGUUGAAAUUUAGUUGUUAGCUUAUAAUUAAAAAGUUAAGUAGUGAUAACAAUCAUUGAUGAAUGAAUAAAUAAGUGAUUGAUAUCACAUGAACAUACAUAAUAAAUCAUGAGUGUUUUGAAAUAUCAAUAGUUAUUAUUUCACUCUUACAAUGUUUGGACACUCUAACUAGGGGAUGGGUUUGCCUGCUGUAAUAAACACACACAGUUCCACACUGUAAACAAUCUCAGCCACACAUUUGCAAUCAGACGGUUCAGCUUAACGCUGUUACAAAAUCACUCUAAACCAUCUCAGCCACACAUUACAAUCUGACGGUCCUAAUUCGUUACAGCGUGAAACAGCGUGCUUUUUCUACAGCACCAAAUCCAAACCCCUCUAACUAGAGAUAUUGGAUAGUUCUGUUGUGUAUAUGACACAUUCAUGAUAUUGUUCUAUUUAGUGGAUGGCUAUUUUUCACAAAAUCAAUUUUAAAUAAAGCAACAAAUAUACCAAACUUAAAUCAAUGUAAAUAACUUCCACACAAGUUGCCCCUAAAAAAAAAAAAAGACUUCCACACAAGUUGAUUAAAAACCGACUUAUAUGUGAUAUUAGUGCAACAUUUCUUGGAUGAUGUAGGGUCUUUGGGAAACACCUUCAAUUAUCAUUUGUUAUGGACAAAUCGAUUUUGAUAAGAGCUUAUCAUUUGCAUUCGUAUUUAUAACCAAUCUUUGAUUUGGUUUAUUUACAUAUAUUCUGAUUUGAUUUGUUCCAUUGUACAUAGACAGACAAAGAUUGAUUACUAAUCAAUGGUUUUUGCCCCCUUAGCACAAGGGUCCAUCUUGAUACUAUAUCUGAUCCUUAUAUCAAGAUUUUUUCCACACAUAACAACAAUUUGUGACUCCAUUCCUUUUUUUUUUUUCUUCUCUUGCUCUUGACAAUUUUCACCGUAGAUGUGGCAUGAAAGUGAAGCAUUGAUGGAUAAUGGUGUGUGCAAUUCAAACUCUAUUGAUUUUUUUAGUGGUCGGGAUUUGAACUCCAGACCUUGCAUAUUUUAUGCAUUGUUCCAACUAACUCUCACGAGGACCUAUUGAUUGGUUGCAUGUAGAUAUUUUUAAGGUGAACUCUACUUUGUUUUAUUGGACAUGAAUGAUAGUCAACAUUCAAUCAUUUAAUGUAAUGUUAUUUAUUGUAUAUUUAAUUAUUUUAAAAUGAAUUUUAACUUUGAAUUAAUUUUAUCUUUAGGAAAGAACUUAAUAAAACUUUCGGUACCACAAAUUUUUUAUUUUUGACAAAAGGGUACCACAAAACUUCUCUUUUCUUAAAAUGAUUUAAUUUAUUUAUAUGCAUUAAAAGUGUAAGGCUUAUUAUACCACCAAUCAAUCAUAAUAUUUCGAUCAUUAAUUUUUUUUUUAACUUUCAUCAUAUCAAACUUAAUAGUCAUGCAAAUAAUGGUUUUGUGAUUGUUAACAAUACAAAAAAAAAAAAAAUCCUUAAAAAAAAAAACACAAAAAAUUUACACUUUCGGUGAAACUACUAUACUAUCAUUUUAUUCUUUAUCUUUUUCGAUUAUUUGCUAUAUUCUAGGACACAGGAUCUCACAUAUAUGUAUAUAUUAUACUUGUAAAAUAUGAAAUGAAUUUUUAGCAAGAUAACCAACCUUCUUUGCUUAUUGCAUAGAAAUGUUGGUGUAGUAUAUAUCAUCUGAGAAUUGACUUUACAAAAUGAAUGAGAAUAGAUGAGAUUCAUUCAUGCUACUAAUGGUGAAAAUGAGACAACUCAAUAGCAUCGUCCUUUCCCUUUAGUUUGUACAUCUAAUGGUUAGUGUCCCUACUUGUUUCAACCCCCUAUCACCUAUCAUCAUACUCCAAGUGUAUAGAUGGUUAUAUUUUGAGAUCAAGUUAGUUUUUUUGUAAUAAAAAAAAAAAAAGACCAAGUUUCUUUUUUAAAAAAAUGCGAUUUUUUAUUCUAUUUUAUUAUGGUAUGCGGAUCAACCAGUUUAACAUGUAGGCCAACACAGACCGAACUCAGAUCAACAUUAUCACGAUUCGAUAUAUCUACUGGCAAGCUAGUCUGAUCCGCUUAACGUGCAUGUUUAUGUGAAAAUGGCUAAUAACGUACCUAGCUCCACUACUAAUAGCUAGUUUGGUCCGCUUAACGUGUAUGCUUACGUGGAAAUGACCAAUAGUGUACCUAGCUCUACUACUAAUAAGUGUGGAAUAUGAACUUUUAUCAUAUUUUUCUCAUAUAAAAUGUAAAAUUUGGAUUCUAUAAUCAAUUUAAAAAGUUCAUACUUUUUUUUUUGGUUUCAAAAAGUCCAACAUUUUAUAUCCUAUGGUUCUUUAACCCAUGGGAAAUCAAUUUGAAAUACUAUUGUGAACUGAUGUAAAGAGUCUAGUGAUGGGAAGUUAUUCCUACCCUUUUUGACUGAUUCCAUUUUAUUUUGAUUAGCCACCUUUUCAUAUAGGUUAAUAGUCCAAACACCAAAUCUUAAAGUGACUUAUUUUAAGGAGAUGCCAUUUUUUCUUUCUAAAAGCAUUCGACAAUCGUUGUACUGCAAAUUGAUAGGUUACAGUAAUUCAUUGUUUAUGGGCACAUAAAUUUGCUUAAUUUUGUCUUUUGAUUGAAUAAGUUACCCUUAUACAAGGUACAACAUCUCAUUUUUCCCCAUUCCAUUAUACCUUUUUUAUUCGUUUGAGAUUAACACAAUUGUGUGGGUUUCACAUGUCUUUUUUUCCCCAUUCCUUUAUACUAUAUUCCUAAUUUUCAAAAUAGAUCCUCGCAAUUAUAAGUUCCCCUUGCGAUACACCUACAAAGGAACACUUAUAACUAGAUGAGUAAAAAAUAUGUGCUAAAAUUUAUUUUUAGGGUCCGUUUGUUAUAGCUUUUUUAAAUAUAUUUUGAUAGUGUAAUGUGUUUUUGUUAUAAUUUUUUUAAUAAAGAAAUUUUUAAGGAAAACUUCAAAUGAAAAAUGUUUAAAUAGUUUAUCUUAAAAUAUCAUUCUAAGUAUUUCAUCAUUUGGUUAUAAUUUUUUUUUAUUAUCUUAAAUAGUUUAUCUUCUCAAUUUCUUCAAUCCCUAAUGAAAUAUCUUAUGUGUUUGAAGCCUUUUUAAUUUCUUCAAUAACGAGGAUGGAAGAAGGAAAAUAUGGAAGAAAUUGAAGAGGAUUUGAGUUUAUUCUAAAUUUGGGAAUUAGGGUUCUAAUGUUCUUAUAGAGAUUUCAAUUUUAUUUUUUUUAUUCUAAUUUCUGAAUUUUUUUUAAUGGUUUAUGAUUUAAAAAAUUUGAUUUGUUGACAUGUUAAUGUCAUUUUUUAAGUUGGUACUGCCACAUAUGUGUUUCUUUGCCAUAUCAGCAUUUUUGGAGGGUAAAAUGAGGGUUAGGAUCAAAAUUGCAAGAAACAUGAUAGUAUAGGGACUGUUUUGUUCGAUUUGAAAAGAGCAUGACCAAUUUCGUUAGUUGGUUAAAACCCGAAAAUCAAAAAUAUAAUUAAGUCUUUUAUCUAUAUAUCUGUUGGGUGUGGCAGUAGGUGACCCCUCAGCCUCAUCUUUUGCUUAAAAAAAAAAAAAAUAAUUUAGCCACAUAUGACCAAACACACACACAUAAAUCUAUACUCAAAAUCAAUUUUACCUCUUUCAAAAGUAUUACCAACAAACAUUAAUUUGCUUGUAUUUAAAUAUGAAAAUGCUAGUGGCGGAUCACUAUUUAGGCUCGGGUGGAUCAGAGUCGACCUGACCAGAAAAAUUUAACUUUUUUUAUAGGAAAAAUACUAAAUUAUCUUUAACUUUUAAAUAUAAUUAUCUUGCGGCCCAACCUCCUCUUCAUCUUAAUACAUUUUCAAGUCGCUCGAAACGUUUAGAUAAUUAUUUGGAAUUUUUAAAGUAUGUAAUUUUAUUUUUUUAUAAUCAACUCUAUGUUUAAUGUUUAUUAAAACAUAAAUUAAAAGUGUGUGUGUUUUAGUUUAUUUUUGUAGUCCAACUGAAAUUUCUUUUUGGCUCCACUACAACUAAUAAGUGUCUUUAGGCAUUGUCUAAAACACUAAAAGAGGUAACUUUUGGAUACAAAAUAAUAUAAUUAUUAGUUUAACAAAUAUGUGUUGUAUUUACAAAAUAAAUUUGGCUGAGUCUGGAUAACGAGUUUCUCUGGGGCACUCUUUACAUAUUUUUUUUUGUUGAAUCGACUCUUUAAACAUACUAAAUUAAGUAGUUAUUCUUUAAAAUUGUCAAAGUUUUUAAUUUUCAAUGUACUGAUUACAUAAAUUUUCGUAAAAUUUAUUUAUUUAAAGUCCUUAACGAGUGUUCUGGACAUUAGUUUACUCUUCCCUUUAUAUAUUCUUUAAGCAAUGGACCGGUUAGCACGAUGAGUAAGGACUAACUCUGCUGUGUAUUGGCCACUGUGUUAAUAAGUAAGAUAGGAGUAUAUUAUAGUUUUGUUCGUAUUUCAAUUUUGCUCGUGUCACUGUAUUUGGGUCCUUCUGAAAGGAAAAAAAAAAUUCAUUGGCUCCUCAAAGGAACAUGCACACUCCUCAGAAAGAUUUGGUAACCUUCGUUGGUCAUCGUAAGUAAUAAAAUAUCAAUUUUACCACUACGUGAGAAUGUGACAUUAUUCGUGACCCUCGUGCAUGCAAUCUUAAACUAUUCAUUAUUCAUUUUAGUUUAUCUCAAAAAAAAUAAAAAAUUAUUCAUUUUAGUAUUACUCCAAAUAUUCACAUCAUCCUAAACUUCAUUAUUUAAGCAGUGUCGUAACGCUACCUACUCCCGAAAGAUUCAAUGGGACCAGAUGACAGUCAAAAUUGUUUUCUUAAACAACGCAUUAAUUACUUGAACACGAUGAUUAAAAUAAACAAUGCCAAUAAAUGUUUUUGAAAUAAUUAUUAACAUGACUCAGGAUGAGGAUAGUGAAAAAUACGAAAAUUUGUAGAUAGAGUUUGUAACUCGCAAUCUAAUCAAGAGUCUUGUUUAUCCAUUUAAAAAUGUGUGACAUCGUAACUUGUCACUCUUUCAUCCUAAGACGAUUGAUGAGGACGACAAUAGAAGUACAACACGUAUACAUCCAAAGUUCAGAACAAAUAAUUAUUUGAAUUUGAAGAAAAAUAAUAUAUAUGCAUAUAUAUUUAUUUACCGUGUUAUUUAAAAAAACACAUUGUAUUAAUAAUGAAAAGCAUAACUUUUCUUCUUCAGAAAAUAGAAAAGGACAAAACUUAAAUUCUAAGUCACUUGAUUGAAAAUCUAGUGUACUUACAUUUAUCACUAUCUACCUAGAAAAUGUACUGUUAAUUAACACGAAUAUAAAUGAAAAAAUGUUAUAUUAUUAUAUCAUUGAACAUGUCAUUAUCUAAUUAUGGCCAAUCUUGUUAUGUGCAGAUGUAAUUAAAAAAAAACAAUACAAAAACACAAUAAAACAAUGGGGUGGUACCAUUUCCACGGGACCCUUUCUCGUGUAUCAUAAAGGAAAAUAGAAGCAAAAUAGAAAGAUAUUGGCCUUAUUGAACAUCAUAGGGCUGUAUUGGUUUCAACUAUUUUAGCACAAAUUUGUAGCUGUGGGGUAUUGAUGAUACUACCAUAUACCAUACGUAGAAAAUGACUUUGACUUAAACUUGGCCAAACCUAGAAACAUAAAAUUGACAAGGGAUACAUGCUUUCUUAAAUUGUACUAUCAAGUUGGUUGGUUUGUCAUCUCUAUAUAGAAUGAUUUAGGUAAACUUUGGUCUAAACACACUAAAUUAUAAAAUAAAUGAAAUGCUAACGAGUGUCUUGAGUCACUCUUUAAACAUAAAAGUUUGUGUAUUCAGUGCAUUGAAAAUUGAACUGUUCGACUUGUGUCCUAAAAACACUUGUUAAGAUAUUAUAAUAAUCAUAGAUAUACAUAACUCAAAUGUUGUUUUGACUAUUGUCAAUAAUCCAAAUUUAAAAUUUUAGAAGCACCCUUAAUUACACCAAAUCAUUUUGCAUGAAAUUUUUCUUUAUGUUAUUUUUCUAAGAUAGUUGAAUAUUGAAGGGUACGUUAUGAUAUUAAUUAAAAUAACUUUUGAAAGAACAUAAAAAAUUUGAUGGUAGACAUGUCACGGAUUGAACAAGUAUACACGAAUCUAUAGCAAGAUAACUUAAGGAAACCCUUCACUUUUUCACCAACAUAACCAGGCAGGUCCCCAAAAUUCAAUAAUGAAAGAGCAGCAAAUGUUUGCAUUGGCAGCAUCACUGUAGGGGCAGUAUAGGACAAUUGUCCUUGAAUCGUAUUGGUACAUUAUGGUGGUUCUGGUUCUAUUGACUAGUAGCUCCAUUGAGCAGUAAUAACACAGAUUGAAGGUCAUUCUUAUUUUGAAUAGUUGCCCUUUUACUACUUGUAAGUUGUGUGUGUGUAUAUAUAUAUAUAUUUUUUUUUUUGUAUAUUGAAAACGGUAGAAUAAGGGCUAAAUCACGUUAGGACCCCACAUUAUUUACCAAAAUCCAAUUAUAUAUACUGUGCCAAGGUUUAUGGUCAGAGAAUAGAGAAUUAAAAAAAAAAAAAAAAAUCUUUAGAUAUAUUUAAAGUUAUAUUUAGGUGAUGGUUGCUCAAUAAACACCUUAAGAUUGCUCACUUGGCUGAAAAAAGUCAAUCAGAGUUACAACCCGGCCGGAUUUUCCAUAAAAAAACAGUUGAUCACGAGUUAUGCCACAAUCAAAAGCAAAAUUGAGAUGUCUAUUGAACAACUUUCUGUUUAGAUUGUUAUUUGAGCAGAUAUAAAUAGCCAUACGCUCAUCUUAUAUCAAGCAAUAAGAACUGAAAUUUUGUGAAGACAUGGUUCAAUCUCCAUUCUCCUUGAUGUUAUUCCAGAUUCUCACACUUGGUUAAGAACAGAAAUAGUUCAUGCCUAAAAAAUUGUAUACUUAUUAAACCAAUUUGAAAAUUGUAUCGUACAAACAAGUUUAAAUCUUAAAUUUGGGACUCAAGUUAGGCUCAUGUAUUAGAAAACUGUCUAGUUUGACAUAUUUCCACCCACAUCAAUGCAAAUAAACAUUAACUUGAACAGAAGCAACAAAGUAAGUGCAUCACUUUUAUUAAUUCUGCCAAUGUGAAUCAUCAUCCAAUUGCAUUUGGACCUGCUUAUAAUGUGGAACGUUUGAAUAAUUUGAUAAUGAAAAGGUUCUAAUAUUAACAAUUAUACAUCUAUAAUGAAACAAAUUGAACUCAAAAUUACAAAUGGAAAAUUAGCUAUUAUCUAUUUAGCUAGCUAAAAGAAAUCCUGAUACAAAAAAAAUUGGUAAAAUUAUAUUUGGUCUCUUAUCAGUCAAUGGACUGGAUGUGGUAAGGAACUAGGAGGGACCUGUACAGCAGCUGAUUUUGAACCUUCUGAAACAGAUUACUGAUAAUGGCAAGCACACAGAAAAAUUGAAAAGAAAAUAUUUGACAGGAAAUUUCCAUCAAGCCCUUGGAUGUAGUAAAAGACAGUAAUCUCAAGUGAAUCAGUUGGAUUGUUUUACUGACGCCUUGUAACUUGCAUCUACAAAAGCAAAGAAGAAAUUAGAACCUUCAGCCAUGAAAAAUUCAAGCAAAUAACUGUAGAAAAUGCUAAAAUUGAAGAUUUGCAUUUAAAGCAAUCAUAAAUUGUAGUUCAAUGAAAACAAGCAGCCCAUCUAAUAAUCAAGAUUUGGUUACUCCAUCAAUGAGAAAUGUUUUCAAUCCUAAUCUACAAGAUGCCUCUGUGGUAGUAGAACUCCAUUUUUCUACAUCUAAAGUAAGAAUUGUACCUGAGAAUCAGUGAAAAGUGUAAUCAGAAAGAUUCAAAUCUGAACUACUUCCAUGGCUGCGACAAGGAAACUGCGGGAGUUGAUGCUUCUAAUCCUUUUUUGCCGUGUAUGGCAGACUCCAGCACAUCAUAUUGACUAGUCACAGAAUCAUACAAGGCUUUCGAGUAUGCUUCUUUAGCCUGCACCAUCAGAACCCAUAUUUCAAUUAUCAAAUUAAAGAAAUCAAAGAAUCCAAUUAUCUAACGGAUAAUAAAUCAUGUAUGGAAGCACUCGGUCUAUUUUUUAAGCUCAGAACAAAGAGGGUCAAAAACAUUACAAAGUUUGAGCAUAUGACCCAAGGAUAAUGAAUACUGGGCUACUGUACAUAGAUCAUUAACUUCAGCUAUGGGACUCUUUACAUUACAAAUUUACAAGAAUUUUAAUCAAGUUCUAUAACCAGCAAAUGUUAAUACUUAGUUUUGGUAGAGGGUCCAAAGGCUCACAUGAGGUACUUUUCUUUUUUGUGGAGUAUCCAAAUUUCUCAUCCAAAGGCACGUAGGGGAGGAUCCCUCCUUAUAGCCUAAUAGCUUCUAUGGAAUUUAUGUGUGCAGCAUCAACAACUAAAACAAAAUGACACAAUCUGUAUUUAAUAGUGUUUUAUACGUGAUGUCAAGCUACAUAGCAUUCUUAGGCAGUCAUACUUAUUACUUCAAGGAUACAAGAAUGACAAUAGGUGACUUAUUAGAAAGAAAAAAAAUUAAGUAGAAUCAACGAAAAAUAAUAAAUGUAAAGAUCUGAGGAAGUUGAAGUCGAAGUGAUCAUAUUCUCCUUACCUUUUCAGGAUUUUCACAAGAAGCAGUGAUGUCGGAAAAGCUUAUUUCUGGAGCAAGUGAUAUGCCAGUCCCAUGAUAUGAUAUAAUUCUUUUCUCCCCAAUUUCUUUUUCAACCUGCAAAAUUACACGGUGUCAAAAAAAAUUAGACGAAAAAUAUAUCAGGGCCAACUCUCAAAGGAAGGAACACCAUACCUUUAGUGGAGGGGGCAUUAUGUCAUGGCACAGUAUUGCCAUAGGAUAGAUAUGACCUGGUGGACCUGAAUGAUCGACAAGCCUUCGCAUAUUGUCCACUGAAGAAGAAUCAAAGGGUGCCUGAAUGCCUCAUAAGAUUGAAAUUCAUAAUCAGUAUGGAAAUAUCACAGAAUUGGUUGUAUUGCACCGAGGAUGUUAUGCACUUAGAAUUAUUAACCAUAUAAAAUAUGACAUAAGUUUUACUGUUCAUCAUUUUAUACAACUACAAGCAAAAGAAAGCAAAAAAAAAUUGUCGAACAAUAAUUUGCGCCGAUACACAUAACACAUAAUAGAUCAGAUUCACAAACUAAAACAUUGGAUUAAUAAAUUGGACAGAGCAAUAAUCUGGCAUAGAGCACAACCAUGAGAGAAUAAAGAUAGCCCAAUAAGCAUGGAAAUCAUUGUCAGUUAUCCGUUUUCAUGAUAAGCAAAUCAUAAGGUAAUAAAAGUAUAUAUUUGGUUUUCAAAGCUAAACCAACUAAAUAAUAAAAUGGUGCAGCAGAAAAGAACUCCACAUUUGAGCAAAACCGGGACUUCGUUUCUAGCCCCCUUACCAUCCCACCCGUGAUGAAUUAUCCAUGUACUUGACUCUACCGUAUGUAUGAGACAAGGCUAUGUUGUUGGUUUUUUAUUUUUUUGAAAGAAAGGCUAUGUUGUUUUUAUAACACAUUGGAAUUCAAAUAGUAUUUCCACCUAUUUCCAGUGAAAAAGAUCACUAAGCAACCUUUGCAAACAACUGGUUAUGCUUAGAUAGAGUGUUGGACAUAGAUAGCUCCCAUCCUAACUGCUUCUAACAUACUUACUUUAUUUUUCUAUAAGCAUAUAUAAAAUAAUAAAGGAAAUAACAUAACAACAUGAGCUGGACUGCUCGAGUAUGCUUCUGGAAGCAUUUACCCCGUUAACGAUAUUGUGUUUACGAAUAUGAAUCAUAUGAUCGAUCUAAGAUGUGGCAAGUUUUGAUUAACCUGAAACUAUAACACACUUCUACAUUUUACUUUUACAAGAAAGUGAACUUACCGGUGCCCAUUCCCCAGAGUUGGCAACUGGUCGAUCCCUACCACCGCUUGGGGCAAUCCAAAUUAUUUGUGAUCCACUCCUGUAGCAAAAAACAGUACAUUAAUAUUAAGAUCGAAAUGUCAAUAUAAGGGACAUCUGACCAAUCAACAACUAUUACACACAAAAGAUACUAUCUAAAGGGAACAUUAUCAACUGCUAUUACAUGCUCAUCCCUUUUUUAAGAUUUGGAUUCAAACAUAUCUGUAUUCAGAUUUGUAGAAAACAUGGACUCAAAUCGAUGCAUUGCAGUCUGAAUUGGAAUCAUAGAAGAAAAGCAGUCAUCUAGCUAUAAAUCAGUAUGCAUAUACCUUAAAAGCGUGGCCAUUUCCUUCAGACUUCGUGUAUUUGCUUUUCUUUUCGUCUCUACAAGUGCUGGAUCAUCAAGCAUGUGCUUUUUUGAAUAAACACAGAUCAGAUUCCUACAUAAAUGAAAAAUGUAAUUGAAGAGAUUCAAAGUCAACCUCAUUUAAAUUAGGCAAUAUGCCAGCAUAAAUUUCAAAUUUAAUAAAAAGAAGAAUAAAAUUAACCUGCCAAUACUGAAGGGCUUGCAUAGAGGAUCGGUUAUAACUCUAUCUCCUGCCACAUAAAUCUGUAGAACAAAAGGCAGAAUUCAAUUAGUUCUGCAUUUAUAAAUGUGCAGAACAGACUGUAUAGUCAGAAUAUACACAAGCAAAUUUUACCAAGUUUUCAGCAAUAUGUGGAAGUCGCAUUUCAAGCAGCAAUGCAAUAAUAGCUGGAUCAGCUUCACUUUGGUGGUUUGACAUCAAGAUAAUAUUGUGUCCCUGCAGUAAUUUUUUCAAUCUUUCAAACAUUAACCCCACAUUUAUGAAUAUGUUAACAUAGGGUAAAUAUACACAAGAACCCAUAAAUCAGAAUCAAGGCUGACAUUUCAUGAAAGGCAGUGAAUAUUAUGUCAGUGCUCUCAUUGAUAUAGAUGUGAUAAAUGUAGUACUUAAUGGGGAAAAUUAGAUACAACAACAGCAUCAUCAGCUCAGAAUUUAACAUUGACAAAUUUCAGGCACAUCUGUGACAGGUAGAACCUUACAUUGGUAAAUUUGGUUUUCUAGUAUAAUAGUAACGCAUUAAGUUCAAUUCAUACUUUCAUAAUGAAACUGAUCUGAAGACCAAUGAAAUAUUGAAAACAAUCAAGAGAGUCACGGGAAACAAUUUGUGACAUGAUUUGCAUGGUAGCAUAUUAAAAUAAAUAGCAAGGUUAUUAUGCAUAUUGUCCACCACCUUAAGAAGACUAACUUUUACAUGUCAUAUAGAUAAACUCCAUAUGCUUAUGCAUAUUGCAAACAGAUACCAACCUUAGAAUUUGGUUAUGGUACAUAUAAUAAGGGAGGAAUAUUUUAACUUUCUAUUACUACCUUCACCCUUUCUAGGGGGAAAAAGGUUCUACCAAUAUUUCACAGUAAAAAAAUGAAUAACCGUACAAUGUAAAAGUAAGCAUUUGAAUGAAAAGGGGCAUGUUGCCAACGUUAGAAAUUGGCACCUGCUUAAGUUGCUCUUCCAUUUGUAUGAAAAGGGGCAUGUUGCCAACGUAAGAAGUGCUGCAGAAAAAGUAUUACAUUUAAGAAUAGAUAUGAGGUGCUGUAAGAUGGAACUGGCAUGCAUAUGAACGGGGUAUACAGAUUGCUGGAUGUCAGCAUUAUAAUUUUCAAAGGGGAACUUAAAGCCUACUUUUGAAGGCAUGGUUCCAAAUAUUUAAAUUAAGCAUGAGAACAAAAAUAAAAACACAGUGAUGUGACUUCUAGUUCUAUACAUACAUACAACUAAGAAGGAUCGAGUUAUUUUUUUAAAAAAAAGGGGGAUCAAAUUAACUACAGAUAAAUUCAUAACUAGGGAGCAAAAGCUGAACAAGUGUCAUUUUGUCUGCAUACAUCAUAAAUUCACAAGAGAUCUCCAUUUGAGGGCACAAAGAAAACUGAGGAUGACGCCUGGUAAGAUGUAGUCAAAAUCUGCAAAGGCAUAACCCUAAUGAGAUCAUAGAUUUUGUCGCUUUUAUUGUCAUUUAUAUCCUAUGGUUAGCCAUGAGCAACUUUCAACCAAGCACAAAUGUAAUUGAAUACUGAUGGGCACCCCCAUUGCAGGGUCUAAUGAAUAAACACAUGGUCAUAGGACAGUGGAGAAGUGGGUGAUGGAAGCGGGAAGGGUGGCAAUAUGAUGUAGGGAGUUCGACAAAACAGGAGUAUGGAUCUGUGAAAGAAAUCCGAGGGUCUUAGGCUUUGUUUGGGAGUUUGGAGGGGAGGGCUUUAGAGGGAUGAGAUUAGAGGGAAAAAUAGAUAAGUCUUUCAAAAAAAUUGACUGUGUUUUUCUAGUCAAUGAUAAAAGAAUACUUAUGAUUAAUGUACUUUUGAUUUUGCGAGUAUCAUAACAAUAUAUAUUGAAUUUGGAAAAUUUACCCAAACACCCCAAAACCCUCCUCUAAUACAAUUUUGUAGUUCCCCCAAAUCAGGGGGAUUUUGAAUUAUGAAGAAAACUAAGCCCCUCAAAGCCCUCCCUUCCAAAAGCUCUUCAUUCUUUCCACUUCUUUCUUCCUUUUUUUUCAAGCCCUCCCCUCCCCUCCCCUCCAAACUCCCAAACAGAGCCUUAUGCUGUGAGGCAGGGUAGGAUCUAGCUUCUCCCAUUUAUUAUUUUAUUUUCCAUCUGUGUGCGCGUACAUACUGUAAUUAUAGCAGUUUACCAUAAUUGCUUCUACAAUAUCCACUUGAACACCAAAAUCUACUAUCUAUGUGUCAUACACUAAUGUAUAACAUAUACAUACAAUUGCUUCACCUGCUGCUCUAUUUCUAAAGAAAUUUCCUCCUUAAGCGUAAACAUGAGUUGUCUUAACAUUUAAUCUUGACGCACUGUGGAACUUCUUUAACUACUUAGCAAAAGCACCAGAACGAUUGAAUUGCUUAAUAAACUCUGGGAGGUAGAAUGUCCAGGAUUCAUACAGGAUACAGCAUUUUCACAGGUACAUUGUAUUUGAGCGACACAAGACAGGAUGAAUCAUAAGAACCGUCAAAAUCAAAAUUACAUUGAUAUUCAUUCCCGAUAAACCAUUAGCUUCAACCAACGUGCUAAACAUGAUAAUCCUAUGGGUUAUGGACAACCCAUGCAUGCAUAUCUUAUACUUCCCAUCACAAUCUUAGCUUAUUGCAGUAAAAAAAGUCUACUACUAAUUAGUAAUAUCCAUGCAUGAAAUUUGACUAAUCACAUUUGUAGAAGAUCAACAGCAAAGUCAAAUAAGUAAACUAAACUGAUCAAUGCCAAAGAGAAGAAAGAGGAGAUAAUGUUGCUUGUAACUCACUUGAAAUCAACUAAGGGACGAAUAUAAUUUUGGCCAAACAUGUAGUAGUCAAAAGGCUCUCUCUUUGCUUUAUGGUGUGCUUCAAAGACAAAAGGCUCCUGUUAAAAAUCAGUUCAAUUUUUUAGCAAGGUAUUUCAAAAACUAUAGCAAGAUUAAAUGGCCAAAGAUGCGAGAUGAUGUGAAAAUUUCAAAAAUCGAAGAGUCUGUAUGCAAAGAAACAGUUAGCUUAGCAAAGCAUAUUCUAAUAUUCAAACUGACCUUCACAUCCAAAAAUAUGCGAUCUAAUAAAGCAGUCAUAUUUGACAAUACAAUCUCAUCUGCUUUGGGAUCUCCACUUUUAACAACCUGAAACACGGUUGCAUACAAAAGGAAGUGAAACUAAGUAACUGAUGAAAACAUGAAUUGGUAUUUCAAUUGCAGCUCGGAAAUAAUAUUAAACUACAAAACCAUAGAAAAUAUUGACAAAACUGUUUUUAUUAUCAUAAAGUAUAUAUCUACACCAAGCCAGCCCGGAAAUUAACAAACUAUAUCAACUAUACAAGAACAGAUGACAGAUAUUUUCACAGUUAAAGUAAGCUAUUUUGGGAUUUCAGUUCCACAGUGAAUCAUGAGUAAACUAAUAUCUUUUCCCACAAGAUACUAGAAACUGUUUACUGGUAAAAAAAUACAUUUAACAGUUAACUUCUUUAAUUAAAAGGUUAUAAACAUAGGAUUAACAUAAUAAGACUAUAAACUUACUGCACUUUUAUAGUUAAGGUACAAUUCUUCCAUCCCUUCAGCAAUAGUGGGGGGCAAAGUUCCGGCUUCUACUUCCUUCUUAAUUCCAGAAAGAACAUCUGCAAACAAACAAAUCAAUGUGACAAAAAAUUAACACUAAUAAUACUAAUCAAUCUUCAAUAUUUAAAUAAUCAAACCAGAAACAAAAUUAUAUACAAACAAACCAAAAAUGCCUUCUUGGUCCCAAUUUUAGUUAACAAUAGUCAAACCACAAAAAGAAAAAAGCAGCAACAAAGUUCAAACGAAUUAAAUGUUAUUAUUUAUUUACAUAAAACUAUCAGCGUCAGCAGAAAUAAACUUCAACAACAAUAACUCUAGCAAAAGAAAAUAUAUAUCUAGCAAUGACACUUGAGAUUAAAAUUCUGUCUGAUGUCAUGCCAAACACGACAUCACGCAUCAACUUAUCUGCAACUUAUAGCACAAACGCUUAUUAUUAUAAACAUUAUUUCUAUAACAAAAAAUAAAAUAAAGUAAAAUUGCAAUAAGCUGCUUUUAUAAGCUAUUUUUUGAUAACUUAUGAAAAAAUAAACUAAACACAUCUUAAGAACCACAAGUUCUCCUCCCAAACAGUCUCAGGAAUUUAUACCAAUAGAUAAACUCAAAUAAGUUUCAUAAUUAUAUUCAACUUAUGCCAAUAGAUAAACAGCUCAAAUAAGUGAUUAUACUUAAUCACUUCUAUUUUUCUCAAAAUUAUUAUCUGUUUCUAGUUUCUACAUAUCGGUCAGUAAAACACACAACUAAACUUGAUAAUCAUAAUCAUAAUCAUGUUUCUUUAAUUUUUCAAAUUAAUCAUCGAGACGCGAAUCUUGAAUUAAAGAAAGAAAGAUACCUUGUUCAUUUCUGGCAUUGAGGAAAGUGCGAGAAGAAACAGAAGAAGCCGCCAUAUUAGCAGAAAUUUCUUUAGGUUUUUUAUUAUUAGAAUUGAAAGCAAGAGGAGAACAAUAUGAAGAAGAAGAAGUUCCAGAAGUUGUUACAGAAGAAGAAGAAGUUGUUGCAUUAAAUCGAAGAUGAUAAAAAGUGAAAGAACUACGAAGAGGUAACGAAGAAGAAGAAGAAGAAGAAGAAGAAGAAGAAGAAUAUGAGGCUUUAGGUGGAGAGAAAAAUGCGGUUGAAGGAGAAGAAAAUGGUGUUGUAAACAUUGUUGAAGAUUUCUUCUUUUUGUGACGGUAGUAACAAUUGUGUGACGUAGAAU